AUUUUCCUCGUUUUAAGUAGGGGUACUUCAAAAAAGUCGUGGGUACCUGGUCCUAGGCACGGUGCAGGAGGGCGGGCAGCAGUGCGGGGGCGGGAAACAAACGCGCCAACUACGCCUGUCCGCGCGCAGGUGCCGGGGGCGGCGGCGGCAACUCCGCAGCCGCUGCCCAGGAGGAGAGUUCGCGGCAGCUCGCGGGAUGCUCCUAGAUGCAAGAUGUGUCUCUGGCCAGCAGGAGGAAGGAAGAGGAAGUGAGAGCAGCGGCAGCCGGCGGCAGGGGCCGGCGACCCGAGUGUGUAGACACGUGUGACAGUCCACGCAGUAGGACCCCUAUUUCUACCGGCUUUGGACUUCCUCCUGUCGCACAAUGCCGCCGCCUUCGGACAUCGUGAAGGUGGCCAUAGAAUGGCCUGGCGCCUACCCUAAACUCAUGGAGAUUGACCAGAAAAAACCACUGUCUGCCAUAAUAAAGGAAGUCUGCGAUGGGUGGUCUCUUGCCAACCAUGAAUAUUUUGCUCUGCAGCAUGCUGAUAGUUCAAACUUCUACAUCACAGAAAAGAAUCGCAACGAAAUAAAAAAUGGCACUAUUCUUCGAUUAACCACGUCCCCAGCUCAAAAUGCCCAGCAGCUCCAUGAACGAAUACAGUCAUCAAGUAUGGACGCCAAGUUGGAAGCCCUGAAGGACUUGGCCAGCCUCUCCCGGGAUGUUACCUUUGCUCAGGAGUUCAUAAACCUGGAUGGCAUUUCACUCCUCACUCAGAUGGUGGAAAGUGGCACUGAACGAUACCAGAAGUUGCAGAAGAUUAUGAAGCCCUGCUUUGGAGACAUGCUGUCCUUCACUCUCACAGCCUUUGUGGAGCUGAUGGACCAUGGCAUCGUGUCAUGGGAUACAUUCUCAGUGGCGUUCAUUAAGAAGAUAGCAAGCUUUGUGAACAAGUCUGCCAUAGACAUCUCAAUCCUGCAGCGGUCCUUGGCCAUUUUGGAGUCAAUGGUUCUCAAUAGCCAUGACCUCUACCAAAAGGUAGCUCAGGAGAUCACCAUUGGCCAACUCAUUCCUCAUCUUCAGGGGACAGACCAAGAAAUCCAGACUUACACCAUUGCUGUAAUCAAUGCACUUUUCCUGAAAGCGCCUGAUGAGAGGAGACAGGAGAUGGCUAAUAUUUUGGCUCAGAAGCAGCUGCGCUACAUCAUUUUAACCCAUGUCAUCCGAGCACAGCGGGCCAUCAACAACGAGAUGGCACACCAGUUAUAUGUUCUCCAAGUGCUGACCUUUAACCUUCUGGAAGAUAGGAUGAUGACCAAGAUGGACCCCCAGGACCAGGCCCAAAGGGACAUCAUAUUUGAACUUCGAAGGAUUGCUUUUGAUGCAGAGUCAGAACCGAAUAAUAGCAGCGGCAGCAUGGAGAAACGCAAGUCCAUGUACACUCGGGAUUAUAAAAAACUUGGCUUCAUUAAUCAUGUCAAUCCUGCCAUGGACUUUACACAGACCCCUCCCGGGAUGCUGGCUCUGGACAACAUGCUGUAUUUCGCUAAGCACCACCAGGAUGCAUACAUCCGGAUUGUGCUUGAGAACAGCAGCCGAGAAGAUAAGCAUGAAUGUCCUUUUGGACGCAGCAGUAUAGAACUGACCAAGAUGCUGUGUGAGAUCCUGAAAGUGGGCGAGCUGCCUAGUGAGACCUGCAACGACUUUCACCCGAUGUUCUUCACCCAUGACAGAUCUUUUGAAGAGUUUUUCUGCAUUUGUAUCCAGCUCCUGAACAAAACAUGGAAGGAAAUGAGGGCAACAUCUGAAGACUUCAACAAGGUAAGGGAGGUGAUGUCACCUGCGCUCCCGCAGGUCUGGGGCUCAUGCCUCAGAUAUGCUGUUUCCUCAGCUGUGUUUACAAGUAGUGGUCAAGGGAAGAGAGAAAAGGCAUGUAGUCUUAAUUGUACCAAAAAUGGAAGCAACCAUUAGGUAUCUGCUUCUCGUAGCUUUGGUCCCUUUGUUUCAGCCAAGGCCACCAACAGAGAUCCUUUCUGGAGAAACUGUCAUGGUGAAUUUUUCCUUUGUGGUUUUUGGUAUGGAAUGCUUUGUCACUGGUAUGAGGCUAUUAAGAAGGGUGUCAUGUUGUCUCCACCUGUGAAGAAGACAAGUACAGAGUCAGCUGAUACAACCCAGAAGACAACUGUCUUCCUGAUUCCAUAGAUGUGAGAAUUUCUUGGUUAGCUUAGAGGAGUUCAAAACAAGGUCCCUGCUUUUAGAGAUAAAGAACAUAUUUCUCCUUGUAACAAACGUGUAACAGUAAUGGCUAAUUAUGCCUAAUUUUAGGGUCUGGACAGGUAUAGUUUAGCCUAUAACAAUUGUAACAUGAUUCUAAACAAGGUUCUAGCCCAAACCCACUAACAUUGCUCCCAGUUAUAAGGAUCGCAAAUAAGAAUUUGGUGUGCUACUUCUGUGGCCUUGGUACAUAGAUAGCAUCUACACUCCUAACUGCAUUUGCCUCCCUGAUACCUUCUGUCUGAACACUUGUCACAUCUAUUAUGUUUCGUUUCCAAGUUCUGGAACCACUAAAGGUUGAAAAGAAAGGAAGGUGGAGUCAGGCACUGACCUGCCUGUUGCCCUAGGCAUAGUUACCUCACCCACAGGCCAUUUCCCUCAGCAGUGCCUACCAUCUUUCCUUUGCCCCUAGGACUGGUUACUGAAAUCCAGCCAUCCAGUGUGACCCCAACCCCAACCCCAACCCCCGUUGAGCCCUGAUCAGCAAGGUGCAGUUGUCUGAACAUCAUUGUCUGAGUAGGCAUGAUUCAAGGAAGACUGGGGAGAAAAGAAGGCAUUAAUUCACUGCAAUCACAGCCACAGCUUCCUGUGUACUUCACCUGAUUAUGAGAGACUAUGCUAUUCAGGUGCAAAUCACCCCAAAGACGGCCCUCCCCACUCAAGCCACAAGAGGAGACUUAAAUCAAUAGCCUUUCAAAGUGGCUGUGGCCACUCUGCCCUGGAUCAAAGUGACUCUUCAUGUGCUGUGGUGCAUAGCCAUCCAAGUCUCUGCGUUCGGUGUUAGGAUACUCACUCUUCGUGGAAGGCCACCUCACCAUCUGAGAUGUAUAUUAUUAACAUUGGUUCAAGAAUUAGGGUCAAAGAGGGGUUAAGCAUGGGAAAGACAAUGGAUUUUAAUUUCCCAUAAUACUCUGCUUUUCCCUGCUUAUUAAAGAAAAGCAUAUUUCAAGAUGAAUGCAUAAACAUAUACAUGAAUUUAUUGAAAUGGAAAUAGACUGACACAUAGAUAUAAAUGAAUAGUAAAUAUCUUAUGUAUUCAUUUUCUAUCCCCACUGCCACAAAUGACUGCAGAAUUAGUAGCUUAAACAAUGCAAAUUUCUUAUGCAACUGUUCUAUAAUUCAAAAGCUAACAGUGUUUCAUUGAACCACAGUUAAGGCUUCAACAGAGUUGUUUCUAUCUGAAAGUUCUAGGGGAGAAUUUGUUGCCUCACAGUCUUUAGCUUCUAGAGGCUGCUAUAUUCCUUGGUUUGCAUCCUGUUUCUCUCUCUGAAGCCAACAGCUGUGGGUCUAGUCCUCUGUGAUGCCAUCCCAUUCCUCUGAUGUCUUUUUUAAAAUUGUCCCAAGAUUAUUUAGAAUUUGAAUAAUCCAGGAUAAUAAUCUCCCUGUGUUAAGGUUGGCAAAAAACAACCUUAAUUCUACUGGCUUAUCUAAAUCACACUUUGCCAUGUAGCACAGUUACAAGUCUUAGGGAUUUUAAAACAUGGGCCUCCUUGGAGGGUAUUUUUCUGACCAUCAUGGUCUAUAUUUUAUUUGCAUAUGUGUUUUAUCUUUAAGUGUUAAUAACAAUGUUUAAUACAGUAUUGAUAGAUAAGCCCUUUGCCUGUUAUUUUAAGGGUAGACAUAAUUCCAGAAUGCUGCUGAGAGCUACACAAGCUCAAUUCAGAUAAGUUUGUGUCCCUUUUCCUUUGUGUCCCUGUUCUGCUGCAAUUGCCUUUUUACUUUGGUGGAAAAAAGAAAGACAACAAGGAGUUUGCAGAGUAAGAACCACUACCACAAUUCCAUGCAGCCUUUCCAUUUUUUUAUUCUUGUUUCCUGCCUAUCAACCACUGGGCUGCUUUAUUCAAUAAUAAAUGGAAGCAGAGAGAAGUGCUGAAAUUGAAAUCAGUUCACUUUUCUUCUUGUUAUUAAGUUGAUAGCAGAAGAGAUUGAAUUUAGGAACAAAUGUGGGCUUGGAGUUACUGUUAGACUUAAAUGAUUUCAUGUUCCCAAGACUGUCUAAAUUCGAAUCCAGGAAUAGCUUAAAAGAACCUAAUAUGAAGCACCAUUGCUUUUGGAGUGCUUUGGAUACUGUCUAAGGCUCUGGCUGGUUUGUAUCAACAGGAAAAGGAGAUUGAAUUGCCUACCUCAAGGCCACUAAUUUCGCCAACAUACCACGUGCACCAGGUUAUAGCAGAGGCAGGAAUAGCUUCUGCUAUCCGCCUGACUUGAGCUUCGGCUUGGAGGUAUCUGGAAUGUGCUAGUUAAUGUCACUAGUCAGUGCCACUGCUGGAUGAAGGCAUUUGGAAAAGCAGCUGUCUACUGCUCUUCCAGUCUUGAGGAGCAGCAGAUGGAAGGCCUUUCUUAUUUAUAUAGAGAAGUAGAAUUGGGGGGUGAUUAAAAUAUUUAUGCUUAGAAAGAACUUUCACUUUCUCAAUAUAGCAGUCUAAAGAAUAAUCCAUUGAUUCAGGCCGUUGAGUUUGUAUUCUGUGCUUUUGCCUUUUAUUGCCGAUAUGUAGGACAUGCAUUAUUCAUUUGCAGAGGUGUCAGGGAAGAGCUAAACUGCUGCUGGUUACCUCCCCACACAAGCGCCCAACCAUCAUUUGAGGGCUUUAUUUGCACUGUUUCAUUUACAGGAAUUUUAUUUUAUGCCUGUGUGGGUUGUUGUUGUCUCAGUUUAAUUAUUCUAACAAGAGUUUGCAUGUGGAGUAUGGAUCUAUGCAACAGUAUUCCUCAACGUUGGGUACAUUUGGAGCACAUGGGGCCUCUUAUCCCAGUGGGCAGUUGAACCACAGACCAGUGAACCCCUUGGUUGGGGGAAAAGGUACCCAUGAGUUGUUUUCAUGAAGUUAGAAUUGGUCUCUAAAGGUGAUAUGCAACAAUGGAAUUUCCACCUCUUGAAUAUGCCACACAUAUUUCCAACUACUACAGACUGCCUGCAUUGAUAAGAGUACUGUGACCAUUUUUCAUUCUCAAAUCUUCCAUGCAUGAAAAUUAACAAAAAAAUAAAAAUGGAAAUCCUAUCUCAUCCUCUCUUAUUGGUGAUAUUACAGUAACUGGAGUCAGAAGUAUAAAAUAUGUUGAGGAAGUAAAUUUAUAUGCAGAUGUUACAUGGCUUUUUAAAAGGAAAUCAUAAGAUAAAUCUCAUCUACAAACAUGGGUAAACAGCUUUUGAUGGUCAUUUUAAGUAUAACAUGUUAAAAUGAUUGUGAAGAUGUCCAUGAACCUUACACUAAGUUCUGCAUGGAAUGACCAACCUAACAGUGGCAACAUUAAACUUAUGCUGAUUUCAGCAAUUUGUUUUCAAACAGCUUUAUGAACUGACUUGGUUUCCCACACUGACAUGUCAUGAUGUCAGCCUCAUAGAAUACCAGAAGGUCUUAUGAACUGUGUGUCCUUAACAGUUGAUAACACCUAAGGCCUCUCAAAAAGUUGACUACUUGAACUCAUUUGGUUGUACUCAAGCCAUUCUAAGGACCAUGACCUAUGUUCUUUUUAUGGUAUUGGUGGCAUUAUCAAAAUUAACAUUAUAAACUGAGAUGACACAACUUUGCAUGUUUCAAUGUAAAGAAAUGGAAGUGAUCAUUUUAAAAGUGGCCUUACUGUAAAGUAAUAGAAUUAUUUUGGAAUUUUAUUCAACAGCAAAACAAGCCAGGCCCACUUUGCUAGGUUUUGGAAUCUUAGGCUCAUAGAUGAAAAGUCAGUUGUAGAUGCUUAAAUAUCAGGUUGUGGUGGGGCAACCCAGGUCCAGCAAAGCCCCAAGCUGUGAGCAUCAUCUGUAUCAAAAGAGAAAAUCCCAAGUAGAAAGAACUGGAGAAUGGGCCAGAAAGAAACAUUCUUAGAAACCCCCUGAAGAGGAGCCACAGAAAAUAAUGGAUUUUGGUGUGGGAUGGUGUUUAAAAUGUUAAAGCCAGCAAAUGCUUGGGCUCAAAGGAGAAGGCUUACUUUUCACAUUGCUUUUGGCUUACUGACUUUCAGUGUGUGCUUUGCAGAAGACAAUUGCAUAUUCAGAAGUCCUCCUCCUAGGCCUGCUCAGCUCACUCUUUAGGUUCACUGAGCCAGCCUAUGGAAUGAAAGGUAGUCUGUAACUCUCCUCAUGAAUAAACAUGAACCUCCUCAUUUGCAUGAGGCAGGUGACUGUAAAAUAUCUUGCAGCAAGUAAUGAAAGGGAGCUUUGUGUGUCAGGGCCCAGGGGGAGCUGAGCAGACUCCAAGUUGUUUAUCUUCAUUAGAAUUCCAUCUAGUGCUGCUGUUAUUGAUCUGAACUGGACCUGGUGUGGCUAAUAAAGGAGAUGUACAUUUUAAUUGAAACAUGAAUAUUUAAGUAGAGGAGAUGUCGUUUAAAGAAACCCUGUGCCAUGCGAUGAGAUUAUGUAUUAUUUUAUCUGUCCAGGCUAUUAACAAGUAUUUAUUCAAAAGCCUUCUAAUCUGCCACAAUAGAUUUGCAGUAUAGACAGACAUCCUUUAGAACCAUGUGCAUUGUAAUGAAGAGAUGUAUAGUUUCCUUUAAUGUUUCCCAAUGAGUAGUGGCAAGUAGAUUCCUGGGUUUGUAUUUGUCAGCUGCUAAUUUGGGGUUGUGUUGGGCUUUGUUCAUGGUGUUAGCCACUUUUUAUUAGAUUAUCUUCAUCAGUCACAAUUACAUUUUCUUAGGAAAAUAGGAAGACCAAGAGUUACUUCGCUAACUUUAGUUUGAUACAAAGCAUUUGUUGAAAUAGACUGUAAGGUAUUUGCUUCAUAAAAAAGGAAGUGUUGAUAGCAGCUGACAUGAGGCUGCCUGAGUCUCGCAGGCGACAGCAGUGUGGAGCUGUGUGGAACUGUGUUUUACAAUCUCUUUUCGUUAGACUUUUUUUACAUAAUUUCCCUACCCUAAUCACCUUUUCUCCUGAAAUUAUCAUUACAGAAAUACCAAAUCUCAUAUAUUGGUACCCAAGGUAGAUUUUCAAUUAUCAAUAAUAUAUGUUUUUUCCUGCCUUAUAUAGAGAACCACUCAAAUUUGGCUUGAUCACAAAGAGAAUUCGACCACAGUAGAAACCCAUCCCUAAAUGAGAGAGCUUUCUUUUAAGGUCCCUGGUAUUUCCUAGUUCAUCUUCCAAUGUAGUACAUGUCACUCAGUGCGGGACAGAUGCAGUGGUGACUACACAGCUCAGCUCUUCUUUCUUGUACCUGGAUAACCAUGUGGAAAGGAAAGCUUGGGCUUCAGGUUUCUCAUCUGUGAAAUAAGAGCAAGAACUUUACCUACUAUUCAGGACGGCUCCAUACUUUCCGGGUGUCAUGUAGAUGAACUGUGUAUCUCAUUUCUGGAUGGAGCUGGUACCAGGCAAUGGUAAUAGGGAGGCAAGAGGCCAUAUGCAGUAGCAUUUUAACUACAAACAUUUCCAGGAAAAGUAGACAAGCUUCUUACUUGGACAGGGACAUUUCUGAAGAGAACCCCUGUUGCCAUGGUUCCACUGUCACAGGGAGCAUGUCUCAUUCACGAAGAACCUAAAGAUGACCUUUCCCAGAUGUUCUGCCCCUCCUGCACAAAACUGCUUCCACACCUACAAAUGAGAAUGCAGGGAGACCCAGAGUCCUCCAAGAAAUCAUGUUGUUGCUUCUGCUCAUGUAUUGACAACACAAAUGGUUUAGUGGUUUAACAUUUGUUUGAAAGGCUAGCUAUAACCAUAGUCUGCUGAAGUCAUGACUAUUUUUCUGGACAUUGUCUACCAGUAUAAAAUUCAUGAGUUUCACAAAUAUUUCCAGAUAAUCCUGACUAUGCUAAUAUAUUCAAAGGGUGUCCCUUUAUAAUCCAAGACUGGCAUAGAGUUCUCACUUCUAAAGUUUUUCUCAAGCCUGUAUAACUUUCUUUGCUGUGUCCAGACUUAGCAACUGCGAGAAGGAAACAAUUAGCAGGUUCGUCUGCCCGACAGCAGCACGAUCCAUCAGUCCCUUGGUUCAGUUACAGACCAUCCCUUAGCAGGAGAAUCCUCACUAUUCACCAAGCUUAUUGCUCCAUUCAUCCACUUCUGAAGCUUCUCUCCCUUCUAUUAACUGUGCUUCGGGGACUCUGUAUGAAUGGUUAACAAGUUCCUGUGACCUGAAUUCCAGACUCCAGUGUGGAGUAUAGGAGAGAUUUGAUAAUGACAGAGAAACCAUUUUAUUAGUAUAUGUUCAAUUAACAGGAAAUCACCUGCAUUUUAAGUAAGACAUAAUGAGAUGAAAGCAUUUUAAAUUAAAGGGCAUACAGGAAUCAGAGUUGCUUAACCAGGAAGGGUACCAUUAGGUGCUGAUCUCUCAUGAAGUAUAAGUCCUCAUUGAUCAAAAAAUGUUUAUCUUGUGAUUGCAAAGUAAAUUAUGUUUAGUGGGAGAUUAAAAAUGCAGUUGUAGGGAGUACAGCAGAGAGAAGGUCAUGGCUGUAUCAUGUAGUCACUCCUUUUGUCACCUGAAAUGGCAGGUGUGAUGGGUAACUAAGGUCAAAGAGGGGACAGAGGUGAGAUGAAGAGUCUGUAUUUAGUUGCUAUUCUGCUGCUCUGUUAAAAUGCCAUAAUCAAACACUUUUCCUUAGAGCUUCAGAGGGCUAGAUGUCCAUAACGGAGGGUGGGGAAGGCACGUCAGCACGAGCAGAGAACUGAGACUUCCAUCUUUAUCCACACACAGGAAACAGAGAGAGUAAAAACAGUGUUCGUCAGAGUUCUCUAAGGGAGAAGUGAUAGAGUAUGCAUGCCUGUGAUUUAUUACACAGACUCACAUACAGGCUGUAGUCCAACUAGUCCAACAAUAGCUGUCUCCUGACAAAAGCCACCGACCUGGUAAUUGUUCUGUCCACAAGACUAGAUGCCUCAGCAGUGCCCUCCUGUGCUGGAGUCCUAGGGAAGUUUGAGAAAGUUGCUGUUCUUCAGUCUACAUUGGACUCCUGAAGGAGUAUGUUCUAACAGCAGUGAAGGAAUGGUUCAGGAACAGGAUAGAUGAAUCUGAUAGCAAAAGUGAGGUCUAACAGGCAGAAAGCAAAAGCUUCUUUCUUCCAUGUCUAUUUAUGUGGGAUGCUAUCACAAAGUGUGGCCCAGCUUUAGGUUGGGUCUACUCACCUCAGAUGUUCUAAUCAAGAAAAAUACCUGCACGGGUGUGCCUGCCUGUUUGGGUUUUAGUUGAGUCCGUAUGUAGUCAAGUUUUCAACCAAGACUAACCAUCUGAAACUGGAAGUGAGAUGUAGCUAUAAGCCCUCAAAACCCACCCCUAGUGAUAGUCUUCCCCCAGCAAGUCUGUACUGUUCCAUGCCCUCUCCAAACACCACCACCAAAUGAGGACCCCAAGUGUUAAAUACAGGAGCCUAUGGGGACCAAUUGUCAUUUAAGUCACCACGGAGAAUUAAAGAGAGUGACCAGAAGUCAUUUAUAAAGAAUACAUUUAUUUUUUUUUUUUUUUUGGUUCUUGUUUUUUGGAGCUGGGGACCGAACCCGGGGCCUUGCGCUUCCUAGGCAAGCGCUCUACCACUGAGCUAAAUCCCCAACCCAAGAAUACAUUUAUAAAGAGCUGUGAGAAUUUAGAAAACCCCAAGUGAGAUCUGUAGGUGCCAUCAGCAAUGAUGCUAGAGAGGUGGCUCGGUAGGGGAAAAGUAGCACUCGCUACUUUCCAGAGUCUAGGUUUGAUUUCCAGAACCCAUGUCUUGACUCACAACCCUCUAUUAUUCUAGUUCAGUCCUAAGGGAGCUAAUGUUCUCUUCUGGCCUUCAUGGGCACCAGAUGUACACAUGAUACACCAGGCCUACAUUCAAGCAAAAUAUUCCUACCCAUGAAAUAAAAUAAUUUUUGACCAGCCUCCCUCAGCCACUUACCAGCCUGCUUCUUGUGACCAGUCAUAGACUGUCUCUGAGUCAAGAGGCCAGAAACAGUAACAAAGGUUAAAAGGCAGAAAUAGGCCAAAGGGGAGGUCUAAAUUUAUCAGUAGUUUCUUUAGCCCCUUUGUGGCAAGUGUUAAAAGGAGACAAAUGAAUACUGAAGCUUGACUUUGAGAGCUCUGGGCUCCUAAUUGUUUGUUUUGUUUUGUUUUGUUUGUUUAUUCUCUCCCCACCUUCUUCCUGCUUUGCAGACUGUAAAGUUAGAAGGAAGUGGUUCUACUUGAAUCUAGAUGAUAAGGAGGAAAUGAUAUGGAGGCAGUCAGCCCCUUACUUCCUCAGGUGGCCCUUUCCUACUAACAGCAACUCACUCACAUGUCCCUGGGUACCUACCACCCUGCUCUAUCACUGUGGAUACUUAUCCUCUACAACAUAUGGCAGUAAACUCUUAAUUCUCAAGUUACCUCAGAGCAGAACCUUGGAUUAUGUAUAUUCAUGAGUCUUGCACUAUGCCUGGGAUUUAAAGAUAUUUAAAAUUAUCUCACAACCAUUAUACAAAUAGCAAGGCUAUAUCUAUAUCUACAUCUUGGCUAAUAAUGCGAUUGAUUAAGCAACAUUUUCAAUGUAAGUCAUUCAUUCCAUAAAUCUUUCUGUCUACAUCAAGCUGGGCAACAGAAUAUCAAAAUGACAGACCAUGAUCAGCUCUGGUAGGACAGACAAGCUACUAAUGUUCUCCUUGAAGAGACUGGCCUCUGUUUGAAACUAAUCGCUAGGCAGAGUCAUAAUCACUGCAUAACCCAUUAUCCUUUCAUCAUUACAUUGACUUACAGGUCCCUCUUCUUGGCUAUUCCUAGUCACACUGUGCUUGCUUGGAGAGUCAUUGUACCUCCAAGUCUGCAGUAUUCCCCUUGGCUUGGCUUUCUUACACUAAUGUGAUGUGAAUAGAUGUAAAAUGAGCAUAGUACAUAAGAGCUGUGCACUAUGGGUAACUGCUGCUAACUUGGGGCAAGCCCUAGACUAAGACAUAUGCAUACAGUUAUCUAUAGUCAACCUACACAAUUGGAGAUAUCAAGGUAUAAACAAAUUCUCCUUUCAGCUCACCUACACAUCUGGGAGUAUAAAAAUCUCUUGUGAUUCCUUAUUGCACAGCAUCUAUAUGAAAUCUCCUUGUUAUAAUCUGACCAUAUUAUUUCCACUUCUAAUCUUCCUGAGGCUGUCUGUUACCUGGCUCCAAAAGUUUUCAUGGUAACAUACUUUUCCUGCCUCUACCUGGUGUUUUCACUCCUCACCUUUCCAAGGCUGCUAGCAUACCCUGAAUGCCCACCAUUCAGGGUUUUGUUUUGUUUUGGGUUUUUGGGUUUUUGGGGUUUUUUUUGUUUUUUUUUUUUGUUUUUUUUUUGUUUUUUUUUUUUUUUUUUUUUUGGGUGCGUGCUGUAACACUUUCAUCUCUCAGCGUUAGCUCAUCCUCAUUCUCUCUGCCAGAAACGUCUUCUCUCAUCUGCCUGUUGAGAGCCUACUUAUCCUUUAGGAUUUUGCACAAGUGCCACCUCAGUGUGAGAGUUACCAUCUAUCUCCCUUUCAAUUCAGUACGAAGCUUUGCACCUCCCUCUCCACAAUAUAGAAUUCUGAUAUUCUAUUACAAAAUAGCUUCUAGCUCUACAGUGGCUUUUAAUUAUAAAUCUAACUUUCCAAAUUAAGUCUGUAUAUUACUGGAUGCAGAACCUUCAUAUCUCAGUAUUCUCUAGAUGCUUUGUAAGUAUGGGCUCAAUUAAUUUGGGCCAGAUCCUAAAUGAAUGGCCAGAAAUAUCUGAUUCAUCACUUAAAAUGGUCCUUCUGGCCAAAAGCUGAAUUGAUUUACAUCAUUUCAAUACAGAAUGGAUACUGUAGCUCAGAUCCCAGACGCCAGAGGUACUGAGAAUUUUGCAGUUAUACUAACUAAAGAGUUGUCUUAUUUAGACAUAGUAGCACAUUCAAUAAUCCCAGGACUGCAGAUGUGCAGAAAUGAGCAGAGAACUUGGGAACUGUGUGCUAUGGAUAGCUGCUGCUAACUCAGUGCAAUCCACAGACUAAGGCAAGAGGAUCAAGAAAGACAGCAAGUCUGAAACCAAUCUGGACCCUUCAUCAAAAACCAAAACCAAGCCAGCCAGCAAAGAAAGUAACCCACCAUAACUGAGAUAUGCUCUACUGGUAAAUCCUGUUAAAUCUACCCUUCGAAAUGUCUUCUUCCGAUAUCAAUGCUUUGAAAGACUUAUAAAAUAACUUUGCCAUUUGUUACUUAAUUAAAGUCACAGUAAUAAUCAUUUUUCUCCCAGCAUAGCUUAUGUAAAGUGAUGAAAACCUUCAGAGAAUUUGAUCCGCUGCAAAGUAAACUCAGUUUAUCCUUCCUGAAUAGCACAGUUGGAACUGUCCUCUUGUUUUCCAGCUCCACUCAUUCAUUAUAUCACUGUUGGUCAUGCUCAACCCACACACCCCGGCAAUUCAGGGAACCCUCUAGUCUCCCAUUUGUCAUGUUUUUGGGCCAUUGAGGGGGAAUAAUGUCAAUAAUACCAUUUAUUCUCUCCUAAGAUGGCUGUCAGGACAGGGCAGAGGACAAAUGCAGCUUCUGGCUGUCCAUCCCUUUGAGGUUAUGGGUGCUACCCAAGCAGACCAGCAAAUGUGAAUGUGAGAGUCAGGCUUCCCAGAUGACAAACAGUAGUGUGUUAAAUGUAUCAUGUGCACGCACAUGCACACACAUACACAUACACACACACACACACACACACACACACACGCCACUAUAAGUUACCUUUUGCCUCCAAAGUUAUCUUAAAUUAGGGGGCCCUAUAUUAUCCCAUGAGUGGCAUAAUACAGGAAGACCCCUCAGGAUGGAGUUUGUGUCUAGGAAGAACUGGAGUUGGUAUGUUGCUGGAAUGGGUUCUGGUCCUCAUAUUCUUUAUUUCUAGUUCACAUACCCAUUGGUGUGGCAUGGUUAGAUCUGAAGUAGGUGGCAUAUGGCUUUUUGCUGCUUGAACUACCACAGAAGGAAAUGUCAUUGGCAUAGAAUGCCAGAUUUUCAUUUCGUGAAUCACAGAGCAUGGAAUUCUGUCUGAAGGCUUCCUGGCUGCAAUGUGUCCUUAAGGCAGAAGGACACAAAAGGUGUGCAUCUCCCAGGUGUGCCGUUCCUAUGUGCAUAAUUUAUCAUGAUGGAAAAUUUACUUGCAAUGGACAUGGACAUGCCAAUGGCCUCUGGCGUGGCAGAAAGGCUGUGUGGCUUGUUUAAUUGUGGUUGACUGAGCAAGCAGGUUGCUUUUUUCCCCGAGCCUGAGUUGAACAGAUAUCAGAGAGGUAUGAUUGUUUUCUACGUUUUUCAGAUAAAGAGAAGUUUACUUGUGCAUGUACCAGAAAAAGGCUGUGAGUAAAAGAUUCGUGUGUUUAGAGGAUGGAGUUUGCCAUAGUGUUGUAGUCACUAGAAUUUUCAAAUUAUAAGUCACUUCACAGCAGAGUAGGCUGAUGCAAAACACCUAAUGCUGUCACUCACAGGCCCAGCCUUUUUCCCUCUCCCACCUAUCCUCUCACUGAGGAUCCAAGAGAAAUUUGAAGGUUUCCCAAAUAGGCUAUUAGAACCGUAUGAAAUUGUCUUAUACUUGACAGUUUAAAAGUUAUUUCUUUUAUCUUUUAGAUUAUAAUUACAACAUCUUGUCUUCCCUCCAAACCCUCCCUCCUGUUCUUUCCUGGUCUCCCUUCACACUCUCCCAUAUAUGUCUCCUUCCUCUCUUUCAAAUUCAUGAGCCCCUUUUUCUUUAAUUGUUGUUUACACACAAAACACACAGACACACAGACACAGACACAGACACACACACACACACACACACACACACACACACACACACAACAUUUAAAAAAAAGAGAGAAAACACCAACCUACUCAGGCUGUAUGAUAUUACUUGUACCUAUGUUUCCAGAAUACAGGAAUAUGAAGUGGUUCUACUUUAUAAUUGUGGGUCACAUAAGAGCAGAGGUGGCUACCUCCAGAACUGACCACUGAUUGCCAUCCUGAGUUUUCCACAGAACCCUUUCCUCUUUCAUGUUCCCUGUUCUGUGAUCGCUUAACUGGUUAAAAAAAAUUGCCAUAAAGUCUAGCAGGACUGACUCUGAGCACAUGCCUUGGGGUUCAGUUCUAGCUCCAGCAUUGCAUUUCAUUUUUGGUGAUUAACUGUUUUGUUAUUUAUCUCUUUAUCUGUCGAAUAUAUACCUUAAUAAAAUAGUUGUGAGUGUUAAAUGAAUCAAUUAAGAUAGAGCCACCUGAAAGGCCAAUAUUCAGCCAUUUUGUAAAUGCAGAAUUAACCAUACUCUCUGGCUUAUCCAGUAUGUCAAGCACUGCCUUCUAGAAAUGUAAGGAUCUCAAAGGAGGCAUAGGAAAGCAUGCUUCUACUCCAGGUCUCUUCAUAUUUUUUCCAUCCUCUGCACUCAUCACCCAUCUCCCAGGUAGAGCUUGUGUUUCUAGACUCCACACAGCCAGCUCUUCUGUUUUUUGAGUUUUACCCCUCUUCGCCACCUCUGGGAUGCUACUCUGUCAGUUAUCAGUUUUAAUUAUUACAUCAUCAAUGUGUUCCUCUCAAUGCCAUAUGAAUGCACAGAAGCCCCCACUUACACUGGUGUCAGUCUAAGUCAGGCAUCCUCAAAGGGCUAUGCCUUCAUUCACCUUCUCUAUUUUUCCCUUAUUAAUCUACUAAAAACUCCAUCCUUCCCUCGCUAAAAAUGUAUUCCAGCAAAGGAGGGGAAGUCUGGUUAUAAAAUAUAUUGUUGGCCCUUGAAAAUCUCUUUAGUUACAAAAUCUACUAAUUUUAUCAAAUGCAUAGGGAACAGUUCCAAAUUUCAGUCAUUUUAUUUGCUUUUUUGUGGUACUUUGACCCUUUGGACACUUGGCUUUCUUGAUGAAGACUGUCUUAUGGUGGCUUACAAAGUGGACAUAUGCAAAAAGGAUCCAGGUACACAUGCCCAGACUAACCUACACUGAGAAAAGUUACAUGCAGGACAUGAAGUAAUUAUGGUUGUUUCAGUUACUAGUAUAAUUUGUACAAAAAUGAAAGAUAAGCAACACUAUAACUACACUAAAAAAUGGGAGCAUAACUUUCAGUCAUGAUGCCAGUUCUGUGUAUUAACACUGAGAAAAUUCUUUAGUCAGCAAAGGUAUGCACAUCAUAAACUGAUAUCCACUUACCCAAGGUAGAGUACCAACGACAAAACAAAGAAAUGAUUCUAAGCAAGUCAAGCUUGGUAAAGUAAUGAGUUUAAUCGGUGCUUCUUAUGGAAAAUGGGUAAGAAGUACCUGUAGAAAUAAGAACAAUUUAUAUGUAAACCACCAAAGAAAGGGCUGCUAGUCCUGGAAACUGUUAACUACAUUGCUAUCUCCCCAAAGGAGGCAGGGCCUUUUGGAUCCUCCCCCCAACUCCAUUAUAGAAUGUUAAUAUGUCCAAUGGCCUGAGAGUGGACUGCAACUAAUGAAUGAUGCUGAGGGCCACCCUCUGCCCAGAGGACAGUGCUCCCUAACACAUGCUAUUUCUAAGGAAAAAAUGAGAUUGGAGCUGCACAGUUAUUCUAAAUGUAAGAUUAGAAUAAAGUUCUAAUGAAAACGACAUGGCAAAGUUAUAAAACUUACAUCAUCAUGCUUGUUUGCACUUCUCCUACUCUGAUCUCUUCUCUUCAUCCAAAAUAUGUAGACAAGUCACCCCAAUACUUACACAAUAUUUUCUAAUGCUUUCCUCUGCAGAAGUCAGAUUCAGUCCCCACCUGCCCUGGUGGUAACAAAUCCUCCAGGAGAGAAUGCUGUCUCUGCUGCCUCUCCCUCUUGCUGUGGUCUCUGUCACUGAUCCACCUGCUGCAGGUGCUUGUCUAGAGUAGCAAUCAGCUCCUGAUUGCAGGUUGGGAGAUCUCUCCCCAGAGCUAGUACCAUCCCAUUGCUCUAAAGCAUGGCCGUCCCACCUCUGUGGUCCUGGAAUCUUUGCCAUGUUACAUUCAGGCACUGCUGCCAUUGUUCUUCUGACCUCUUUAGCAUAAACAUUCCCUAAGCUUACCCUUUUGUUGCUAUUGUAUUUUUGUAUGAUGUCCUCCUGGCCACUCAAAAUCCCUUGACUUUAACAGAAGACAAAUUGAAGUUUCCUGAACUUGGUUUGCAUGGCUCAUCCACAGACCCUUCAAACUGGAUUAGUCUAAAAUGAGUCCUGUUUUAUUCUCCUCUCAGCUGGCUUUUAGUGUUUUCAAACUCUAAGAGCUCCUCCAUGAUCUGCCCAUCUUUUUUACUUCAAACUGUGGGUUGAUCUGACUUUUUAACUUCCUUUUAGUGGGUCCCUUAAUCCUACCAGUUUUGGACAAAGGGCCAUCUGCCAUCUGCUGGGACUCUGCAGGAGCUUCCAUGUCUUCUGCAGACUGUAUGUGCCUUUUAUUGUUUAUUGAAUCUGGACAUGGACCAUCCAUAAAUUGUCUUGUCCCUGGGUUCCAAAAGGAUCUUUUAAAACCACGGGUUUAUAGUAUGAUCUUUCCAUACUCAAAACUCCUGGGUGGGAGGGUGGCUAGAAAGAUAGCUCAGAGGCUAAGAUCACUUGGUUUUCUUAUAGAAGAUCCAGGUGUCUGCUGUGGGGGAUGGCCAGCAGAGUAUCCCAGAAGCCCUGUCUCCUGCUCAGACUGGAGUACAUCAGUGGGAGGGGGAAGUCACUAAAAUGUUUUUAGAGAUGCUCAUCUCUAAGUGUUCAUGGUGCUGAGGAGAAGAACAGAGUACCCCCAAACCUCCACACUGUGCCUGGGGAAUGCUCUCCCAGAUACUGAGAGGUAUUCCUGGGGUUUAGAUAAUAAAUUUAGUUCUAAAGUGUUCCUGGCAUAGCACUUGGUGGGCAUAACUUCACCGUAAAAUGCAGGGACAAAGCAGUAGCAUAUGCAUUGUACAGAAAUCACCCAAACUUACAAAGAAAACUACUUUUAAGAGAGCUUUGGCCUACGACUCAGAGCACAGUGGGGGGAAAAGCAAAGUCUGCAAGGAGUUGGAGAAGGAUGAAAUAUAAUAGGAUACAAGAGAAAAAAUUUAACCAGUUGAACUUUAUUAACUUCUAGAUACCAACUGUGAAGACUUGAAGGAAACACAUGGCAACAAGAGGAGAGCACGCUAUUGGUGCUUUCCAAGUAUUUAGUUUAGUAAACGGACACCUUACUUCAAACUGAAAUUUUUGUUGAAAUGUAUUUUUUUUUCAGUGUAUUUUCUGAAGAACCAAGAUGUCUAGUAUAAAAUAGAUUCCACAGCAGCGCAAGCAAGAACUUUUACCCAUGAUUCAACACUGGGGAUUAUUUGAGCUAUUUGCUUCAUAAUUCUCAUGCCUGUCAGUGUGCUGGCAGAACUGUACGUGAGCUAUUUGGAAACCACACUUCUUAUUCUCCUGGGAGGACUUGAUAGAGGGGGGCACUUUUGCAUUGCAGAUUAGCAGAUUACUUAUCACCCAGGGGGCCGGUUUUUUUUUUUUCAUUUGUAUCAUCAACUUGAUAACUACUUUCUUAUGUUAGAAACUUAAAUAUACAAGUGAGUAUCAAAGUAAUAAAAUCAGAUUAUGCUGUAUCUGAAUUUAAUUCCUGUACAAUUAAAGUUGUAGAGCCUGUUCUCUGUGAGAGUCAGGGGUAAUGACUCCAGGAGUCAUGACGCAUAGGUGCCUUUAACUUAAAGUAGAAUGAGGGACAGUUUGAAGCCAUGGGGUCAUGUUAAGCAGACAAAGACUGGGCUUAAAGAACAAGCAGCUCAUCACAGUGAGGGCAACAGUGUUUCACUGUGUUCAAGCACACUGCUGACAUUGUGUUUCUACACUGUACAGUUGCCACUGCUCAAUGCAACUUCACACAGAGUUGUGGUACUCCCCACUUCUGAUAAUAUCCAUUCUCAUUACAGAAGGUUAACAUAUAAAUAAGUAAUUUUUAUAAGACACUUCAUAAUUCUAGGUGACUACUCUGUUCUGUAGAACGCCUGCCCACUGUGUUUCUAUACCUUACUCUCUGCAGACCUCUUGGAUCUGUUGCAAACCAGUCUCCUUUGUCUAUUCUCUUCAGCGUCUGCCACAUGAUUGUGGCUGCCUAACCCUGUCCUGCAUGCUGCACUAGUAGUCUUUACCUGCUGGCUGGAAAGGAAGUCCACUUACUUGCUCCAGCUUCUUGUUCCUCUUUUUCUCAGCACUGAUCACCUUUCCCUCAUGCCUAGCUUACCAUGCUCUGGUGCAGCAGCAGCAGGAGAUCAGGAUGCACUAGUGCCUGUCUAGUUGAUGUAUCUGUCAAUCUGAAGCAGAAAGGCAGAGGAAGCGAUAGUCUCUAGUGCUUGAACAUUUGAUGGAAGAGUAAGCCAAAAUGCAAUCUCUAACAUGUUGGAUAAGAGUAGUCUUCAGAAUGAGAAUAUCAAAAACUCGUGUUUUCUUCCUCAAAAGAUGGAAUUACUUCCAUGGGAAAUUGAUGUUUCAGGGUUAGGAAAGGUGGACUCCAACAAAGGCCUGGAAACUGGUGUGUAGUGAGAGCCCCAAAGUCCCCUUUUCACAAUGGCACAAAAGCUGUUUGUAUUUUGCACUAUUGAUAGAGUAUCUUCCUGUUGACCCAGUAGGAUUUUGACACCAUAUUGCCAGGGACACACUUGGCAACAUUGAACUGAGAAUGUGGGCAUUUUCAUUUCCUCCUUUUGGCAUGAUUCUCUCCACCAUUCAAUUCUGGAACACAUUUUCCUAGCAUAUUUGGAAAACUUGAAUUGGCAAGAUGCUGAGAUCUGAAUUUUUCCAGCUUUCCUUUCUAAGAUACUUGGGAUUGUUAAAAAUGUGUCACAUGAGGCAGGCCUUCCCUUCCUCUUUCCCAAGGUCUUCAGGUAAGUCCAUUCUAUUUUGUCAAGUCUGCCAUGCUCCAAAUGUCCCUCAACUGUAUCCUAACCCUGUGAGUGAAAGUCACCUGUCAUUUUGGAAAAGGAAGAAGGACAGUGCAGGUUUUAAAAUGUGUUUGUAUUUUGUGGAUAUAUUUUUUCACAGCAUUUGUAGAAUUUCCCUACACUUUAGGCAUUUUUUAGGGAAAUAUCACCAUAGCAAAGUCUGAGGAGAUAUCACCAGGUUAAAGCAUUAUUUUACAUAACUUAACCUUAGAUUCUGUGAGAGCGAGCCUGCUCUAGUGGCUUGCUCUGGAAUACUGAGGCCAUGGGAUGCUAUCGCUUCAGACAGAUUUCUGAAUCUUUUUCAUGACAGUCCCCUAUCAUUAGACAAUGGAUGAAAUCAAGGUACUUAAGAAUAUUGAACAUCACUGUCUCCAUUUGUAAAUGAAGAGUAUGAUACUAACUUGUGGAAAACAUGCACACGUAUGUGCUGAUAGUUCUGUGCACCUAGAGAUGUCUAGCCCUGUCACAAAGAGCUUUCUAGCUUGGGACCUAAAGACAUGGUGACAGAGUAUUAGGUUGUAUAUGUUUUAUUUAUGAUUGUCUUUCCAUGUAAUUGAAAAGCCAGGUAGCUAUCCAUGUGUGGAAUAAUUCUCUGGGCAGUUACUAAUCUUGUUCCCUCGAGGUAAAAAGUUAUUCUGAUGUGUUUACUUAAAAAUGUGCAUGUAUGUUCUGUAUUUAAAAUAUAUAAUCAAAGAUGAUUGUACUACUCAACCCCAACCAUGUUACCAUGACUGGCCAACUGUAUUACCCAUGUCUGUGGAAUGAGAUAACUAAGUGAACCAAGCCAGUGAUAACUAUUUGGGCAGUUAACAUCCUGCCCACAUAUCUUUAUAAACAUGGUUUAGCCUAGGCUGGAGUCAGCUUGGUUCUGUUUUAGAAGUGAAGUAAGUGUGUGUGUGUGCAUGCAUGCAUACGUGUGUGCAAUGUAUAUGCGUGUAAAAUGGGGUGUCUUAAGAAGACAAAUAUGUGGGUGAAAAUGAACUUAUUGAAAUGUACACUAUUUGUUUGGAAUUUCAUUAGAGCUCAACUUUUCCCUCAAGACUGUGUAGAGGAACUAGCCACUCAAAGAAAGAGCCAUGCAGCAGAGCUGUAUUUUGAACUGUGAGGUCAUCACUGUCACAUUCAUUGUAGUGAUUCACAUGUGUCUUGAUGAAGUAGACACUGAAGGAAGAGAAGCAACAUGUUUGGGACAGAGAGUUUGAAAACAGAUGGGCUGACUAUUAUUACUGUUACUUCUUUGUGAUGGAAAGAAUUAUCAUUUUUCAUCUUUUAAUGUGUAUUGUAACAUGUACCAGGCUUUUUGUAGAUUUGAAUAUUACUUUAGAAAGCAUUCUGUAGCAAUUGCAGUAGUUUUGAGGGAAAAAGAAAGAAUAGUUUGUCUCCCAACAGAACUUUUUUAGUUUGUAAAGUUUAAAAGCAUUACAAAAAUAUUAAAAUAUUAAAAUAUUGUCAGAUUUGAUGCAGUAUAUAUGUCAUGGUUGGGAAAGAAAUCAGACUUAGAAUCAAUGCCUGAGAAGAUGCAGGACUAGGGAUCUGGCAAUGCUUUUGGUAGAGCAAAGAACACAGGCUCAGUGUGUGGCUCCAGUGGAAAGAGACAUCUUCCUACUGAUGACGAUACCCAGGCACUCUAAUUCUGAUGUGUAGCGGCAGUUCUAAAAGUUUGUGUGUGCCCUUCUCAUCCCACAACUUAGUGAGGAAGAUGAAGAGCAAAGUGCCUUAAAAGAGCAGCCAACCUGUGCUCUACGGAGCAGUACUACAGGACAGGACUCCAAAGGGAGUCAUGGAUGUGCCCUAGGGGACUGUGUCUUAGGAAGGGCCUCUUUGGAAAUAUCAGUGAAACUGACUGUUCUCUAAACUAGAUCCAUGAGUAGGUAAGUUUGUAAGCAUGCUCACCUUGCUAGCAUUGAAUACACAAAUAAGGGCAAGUGAAUGCAACUGAAGCUUUUUAGAAAUAGUAGCUGCCUAACUUUGCAUUUUGACUUAGUUUUAGGGUGAAGAUGUAACUGACUGCUCUACCUUUAGGGUUAAUGUGUUUCUGCAUUAAAAGUGGAUGUUUGCAUGUUUUCAACAAGGUGGGAGGCUAAGAGUAGGUCAGUGUGCUUAGAGUAGAGCAAUCAGCAAAGCUGAUCCCUAGAAAAGCUGUACUGUCCACGGCCCCCUGAAAUCUAAAGAGGCCUCUCAUGCUUCUUCAUGAGCCUGUUCACCAGAGCAGCUCCUGAGCACCCUAGGAUGCUGGGUACUCACCUCAGCUAACUUUAUGACUUAUGAUGCGAUAGGAGUUUGCACUCCCUAAGAUAAAGUUGACCUUAUUUUUUUUUAAGAGUGGGUCUUUGGAGAUGGCCUGAAAUAGUGAGACACAUACAUCAAUUUUCAAAAAUAAUGCCCUUUUGCAUAAUAUACACUGAAAACUAAUCUGAGGCUCAUCAGUUUCUCUGUGCAAGCAUGUCUGUAGUAAUCAUCAAGUUGAGUUUCUAAGAAUCCUCUAGAGUUCUUGAGAACCUGGUUUAGAAGAGACAGUGAAACCCCAAAUCUGCAUUUUAAUAAGGACUUUCAUACAGAUGGUUGACAUGAAGCACACCUGGAAAAACUGAAACCAGAGUCCUUUAGUUCAAAUAACAGCUCUACCUCUUAAUGUUUUUGGAACUGUGGUCAAAUUAUUUAAUGGUUUUAGACCUCAGUUCAUCUAUCUACAUAAUAAGGAUAGUGCUAUUUCUCAGGCUUUCAGUAAGGACUACACCUUGUUAAUCAAGGUGAAACACUUAAGACGUUUCCCAGAGUGACUGUUAAGCUUAGUCCUGCUUAUCUGACCAAGCCAACAAAUUAAGAAUAUCCUGGAAUAGAUUUGAAUCAUAUUGAUAUUCUGUUGGAAUACAUUGAACUUAACUGAGAAAUCUACAAAGUUGAUACUUUGGUGACUAAGAUAUCAUUUAAUGGAGUACCAUAACUAUUAAUGUUUACAGAAUAAAACCCAACCUUUCACCUGGUGUCUAAGACUCCAUUUGCCUCACCUCAUACCAUCCUCCCCACCCUUACUGCAUCUAGUCUCCUGUGCAUUCCUCCAACUUUCCUAGAUGCCAAGCUUUCAGCACAAGCCCUGUGUGGGUGUGUUCCUUAUAUCAGUUCAUUAGCUUUGAUUUUCUGGUGCUCUGUAUACUGGCUCAGAUCGCACUGCUUCUAAGAUAUGCUUCCUGACCUCAAUAGGUCAGACCCACUUUCUGUGCUCACUGCACAUAUAGCUCAGAUCUUUCCUGCACACCCACAGGUACACUUUAUUAUGUUAGUUGGCUGUACUCAAGGCUGCGAGAUGAGGGCAGAGGCUCUGUGUCACUUAGUUGUGUCACUAGCCUAAAUUCCUGACACAAUAAACAGCUGCUGAAAAAUACUGAAUUUUGUUUGAUGGAGGAUCUGCGUGGAAUGGCAUGUUUCUGCAUAAAACAAACUGGAUACUUGGAUAUUUUCAACAAGGUGAGAGGGUAAGAGUGGGCCAGUGGCCUUAGACUAUCAGAAUCAGGAAGGCUGAUUACAAGAAAAGCUGUACUGUCCACAGGCCCAGAAAUUUGAAAACAGUGGAGAAAAUUGCAGGUUGUGGAUCUUCUCAGUGAGGAUUCCUUCCCGAGUUCACAGUGACAUAAAGAGACAAAGUAGAACAUCAGGGUCCAUAGUCUUCAAGGAGCAAAUCUAAUGUGAUCACAGGGUAGAACUCAACACCAUCGAGUGGAAGGUGUGGGAUUUGAGCCCCUAGUCACUCACUUUAAGAAUAAAGGGAGGUCAGAACUGCUGUUCUUUAGGAAUAGAGGAUGUACUAAGCAUGUAAGUCACCUUGCUGCCAGAGCCAGAGCCAAUGAGCCUUCUCAAUCUCAGCCCUGUCAAAAGCAUGCUUCGUGUAAUUACCACAAAGACACCAUACUUGCAAAGACCUUUAUGGAACAGUUUGCCUUGAGGAGAUGGUGACACUGAUAGUGACAGCAGAUCCGCUUAGACCUUAGCUUGUUUUUUCACGAUGUCAUGUUUUAUAUAUGUAAACAUGUAUGUCAGAGCUUAGCUUUUUUCAUGUUUAUCAUUUUCUCUAUAUGUAGGCAUGUAUGUGAGAGAUUGAUGUCUUGGAUUCCCCUUCCUAAGGAAUCUGAUAGUGCCAUUCAUGCAGCCAUUCGUUGCUCAGUGGUGGCCCCUGCUGCUAAGGAGACAGACAGCAGCACAUACAGUGUUCAACAUUAAUUCUGAUCAUGCCCUGCAUGUAACCAGGAGAAUUUAAAGCAAGCAGGAGGGGAAGAGGUGGGAGAGAUGAAAAUGUGCUGAGAAAAUUAAGGGAUUUCUCUCAUGUCUGAGGUGCUUUGAUGAAAUUCUAAUGCAGGAAAGAGCUUAACUAAAGACUCUGUGUUUGCAAAAUCCUCCUGAUUUGGCCAUUUCAAUAUGUAAAGGCUUGCUAGAAACCAAGAAAAUGCUUUGUGAGAGGCACCAGUGCAAACUUUUCUUUGGGGUUUUCCAGGGCUAUUGUGUAAUGAUUUAAAGGUACCCACCCAUCUGCUAGGUCAGAAGUUUCUAUGGAUUUGAAUUAGGAGUGCAGGCUGUUUAGGUUCAUCUGCAUCCUUAGUUGGAAUCAGAGUGUGGAUCCUCUCGUGGGACCUCUGCUAGGAUGAAUGCUCCUCUCCCCCAUCUCUGUGUGUUUCUGGGUGUGUGAGCAUCCCUUAAGCACAUGCUGUAUUUUACAAAGCAAGCGUUUACGUAGCAUUUUUGUCUAGAAACUGUAGUGGAGAGAAGGUGGAAGUGUGCAUUACAAUCAAAUAAAAGUAGAGGGGGGCAGAGAUGAGAUUGUAGUUGAUUAUGGGUCUGGCAGCAGAUGUUCUACACGAAUCCAACUCGCUGCAGCCAGUCUGUUUCCAUGGCAACAGAAUCAGUAAUUAUUGAGCCCUGGCACUCCCCCCACCCUCCUUCCUACCAAGGUGGAGGCUGAUGAAUGUGAACUCUCCCUCUCUCCUUGUUCCUCUUCUUUCCCUCGCUUUCUGCAGUCCUUCAUAGGAGAAAGUAGAGGUAUCAACGAGAACUAAGAGAGGGAGCUAUUUGUGUCUUGACAGCAACUGUGAGAAAUUAAAUUGCAAGUAAUCUCUUUCCCUGCGAUACUAUCAGAUCAGAGAAAAGCUCUUCCCAGAAAAGCCGGUGAUCUCUGAAGAUGCUAAAUAAAUGAGCAGGAGUUUCCCUGAAAUGGAAGCUCCCUUUGAUUGGCUGAUCUUUCCACAACUCCUGCCAAUCGGAGCACCCCUGGGCUUCAGCUCCAUAAACAUAAGCAAAGCUACAUGCUUAUUCUUCUGGACUUGGAGCGUAUUCCAUUCGAAGGUGUGCAGCGGGUCUCUGUUCACAUGGCUCAACUGGAAACCUGUUUCUUGAACAAGCUUACUGGGGAGCCAUCUGGUCUUCCAGCACACUGUCCUGCUGGGGCACGACUCUAAGUCAUAUUUGUGGCAGCAGCUUAGAAGCAGUAUAUGUCGUUGGAGACGAUGGACUUACGGAAGCUUGAAUACCUAAGACCGAGUAAGAAAGGAUUGGGGUCAUCAGAUUUCUGGAAGCUGAGAAGCCCAAAGCAGGUGGCAUUUCUUGGAUCACUUUAAACAUGAAGCUAGAAGGCAAGAUAUACCCGAGAGUACACAAAUCCAAAACUUACAAAGUAGCAAAGUAACAGCCUAUUCUCAAAGUAAGUAACCGAUAACUACCAAUAACCAAUAACUAUUUCAGGCCUUGGAGUGAGAACUCACAGGGAAAGGAUUAACCCCCUAAACCAACUAUCCAUCAAAAUAACCCCCACCAACUGCCAAAAAUCAAUUGAAUUUCAGCCUAAUUUUUAGAGGGGACUAACAGUCUUUGACAUGUAAAAUAGUCAUGGAUGGUGGCCUCUUUAAGUAAUUUAUUUGAAUGCAAAGCAUAUACGCAUAUAUUCAGCCACAAAGUUUUUUUUUAAAUGUAGAGCCAAAACAUGUGUUUGGGCUCCAAAUUAUUAUUAGUACCAUAACUCUGCUUAAAACACCACGUUUUAUUUCCAGUUUCAGAGAUUUUUUUUUUAAAGGCAACUCAAAUCUUCGAAAUAUCUGCAACACAAUCUAGGUACUGAAUCUCUAAUCUUGUGUGGUUGACCCGCCAAGCACAGGUUUGGUUUGUUUUCUGCAGUGUGUUUCUUUCUUCCCUUUGAAGGCAGGCAAGCUCAUUCAAGUAAGAGCUGUUCCUUUUCACAUUCAUGCAUCAUCAUUGUAUAUAACAUGCAAUCAAGUUACAUAAUUACAAUAACAAGUGUAACUGUCAGAAUCGCGUUUGGAAACAGGGACUCCUAAGUAUCAUAUCACAGCUGGCAGAAGCAGAAGUGUGGAACAAUCCUGAAGCUUGCCUGUUAGUUUAGAGUGUCAGCUUGGGCAUCAGGCGGCACAUUUUUACAGAAGGAACUGAGCCUGUUUUUUACUCAAGCAAGUCAGCUAAAUUAAGAGGUUUCAUACAUUCAAGAAUGCGGUGAUAGGCACGUGUUAUUCAUGUCCCCUAAAAUCGUAUUUCCCAGAGUUCCUCAGAGAGCAACAGGUGUGAAUCUUAUCAGUGCCCUUCAACAGCAAGAGAUCUGGUAGGAGCUGUGUUUAUCUUCUAAAAGGAUAUGAGGAGAUGAGUGUUUUAGACUGUGGGUACAGUGUGCAUUGAAGAGGACAUCUUAGGCUUUUAGCAUCCUGCACAAAUUGCUUUUGGUUGAGGACACCUGUUAGCAGUUUUAAAUCUUUCUAUAAAGACACAUAAUUUAAAUUGUCUGCUUGGCACUUGGUUUCAUAUCAUUGUUUCUGGGCUAGUCUUGGGGUAGUUUUCUAGGACUGCUAUGACAGAGUACAAGAGGGAAGUGGCUUAAAAUGUGUCAUUUCACAGUCUGGAAGCCAAAGGUCUAACGUCAAGGAGCCUGCAAGGCCUUGGGCCUUUGAAUCCUGCAGAGAAAUCUUUCCUGGCCUCCUGGGUAUUUCUCAUGAUUUUUUAGUAGCCUUCGGCAGUCCUUAAAUGUGCUGGAUCCAGGGACCAGAACUAUGCCUCAAAUGUGACACUAUUUGUUAGAUAGUCAGAGGUCCACAUCUUAGCCACUUAUACCAGCAGUGACUAGUUCUGCUCCCCGGCCCCAGCACUUUCAAGCCUUAAGGACUUCCACGGAAUGAUGUUAACGUUUGUAAUGUCAGGCUUGGGAAGAGCCUUAAAUACAUUCCCUGAAGGAUUUUGAAGCGUAGGUCAGGCAAUAAGCCCCAGAUAAAGGAAAAAGUAAUCUGUGAGAAAAAGUAAUCUGUAGUUUGCUUCUUGCUCAGACCUAUGCAAACAAGUACUACCUGCAAUUCAUUAAUUUUUUCAUUUGCCAAAAUCAUAACAAGUAUACUUGUCAUGUCUUAUGUCUUCACUCAUAUGUAACACAUCUUUCACUAGAAACAUUAAUGUUUGCUAAGUAAGCAGAAGCUAAAAAUAGAAUAGACUUCAGUGCUAAUAUAAUCAUGGUGUUGACUUCAGUACUGGCCUAAUUCAGGGCCAGCAGCUAGCAGUGUACUUCCCUGAGUUCUUCCCACAUGCAGCAGAUUUACUUCAGUGAUGGUAGUAGUGUGGGACAUUUGCAUACCACCCCACCUCAUGGAAUACAGAAGGAGCAAGGACUUUUACAGACACGCUCAGUUGAUCCAACCCUCUCGUCUCCUUGGGACACUCACACAUCAAACUCACAUACUAUCAAAGGAAAAGAAAUGGUAGACCAAUUAGGUCUACACCUAUGUGGCAAACGGGAGUUAGGGCUUGGCGUCUGUCUGACUCCAGGCCUGUCUGAUGGAAGAAUAGAAUAAAAAUGUUCUCCAGGAAGGAAGAGGACUGGUUAGUACCGGCAGCAGGCCCACUCAGAGAUGAAAUCACUGAGGUUCGGUAAACCAGGCAUCUUUGCAAAAGCACACAGCUCCAAGUAUGAGAUUCCCAGACGUGGGCUCUGAUUUGUUUUCUUCAGUGCUUCACUACCUCAUCCUGUACUAGAGAGAAUGGCCAACCACCUCCUAUGGCUGGGGGAGUAGUUUCAAAGUUGCAGCUUAUUAGAAAGAAACCUGAUCUUCAAAACCUUUGGUUGUAUUUUCUAACAAGAUCACAGUGUGAAAUGCAAUGUCACUGAGAGGUGAGGAAGAAUUAUGAAGGUUGCUUCUGGCUGGAGGAUCUCUCACUGGAAUAGACAUUUCCCACUGAACCCUGGAAUCAUUUUCUCAGGAUAGCAGAUAGAUGUCCAGGAAAGGUCAUGUGGGGAAAUAGAGCCUCCUGACUUUGUGUUGGGCCAUCUGGGUCUGAGAGGAGAAAGUGCUUCAAGGCUGGGCAUCUCAGAACCAUAGACUGUGCUGGGCGUCAACCAUUCCCACGCUCCCAAAAACGUGGAGGGAGGGGUAGGUUUCUGCAGCUCACACCUAAAGCACAGCUAGGCUUUAGUUCUGACCUGAGUUGAAUUCCUUCCAAGUACUCAGUUAGAAUUGCCCUAGCCCUUGGCUAUCUGAGGCUUGUUCUAGAGCCACUACAGGAUUUCCUUUUAUGGGUAUUCUACUCUUUGUCAAGAAGGGAAAGGGAGGAAAGGAAGGAGGGAAGAAGGGGAUGGAGUGGCGAGAAGGAAGAAAGGAAUGAAAAAAGGAAGAAGUGUAUUGCCUAUUAUUAACCUUUGAGCUAAUUGUUUUUUUUACUUUCAUUUAUCAUCAGAAGCUCAUAUUUUCAUUUCUGUUUCAAUCAUUUCAGUUAUUUGCAUCCUAAACAGAAACCAUCCCAGUUUUAUCACCUUUUCUAAUGGCCAGAAAUAAUCAUCUCUGAGCCUCCCCUGACAUGACUCAAAGGGCCCACCUGUCUUAGAAGGCCAGCUACAGUGCCAUAUGAGUGCUGAAGUCAAGGGUGGACAGUAUCAAUUCUAGUGUCCUUCCUGGCCUGCAGAGCCUCUGAAUCCAAGAUGAAGUUUGUAAUCCUCCCAAAGCCACCCCUCAGCCACUCUCAUUCCUGAGCCUUAUCAGAAUAUGCUCCCAACCUCACCCCAGCAUAGCUACUUGGAUUGCCCGGAAGGAAGGCUGCCAUUUAGGACCCCUUGGCCUUGCACAUUCUUAUGCUCCUUGCUUAUUUGCCCAAUUGCUUUGAAACCUUGCUCACUUGUCCUGGUCCUCACCUGUCCUGGUCCUCACCUGUCCUGGCCCUCACCUGUCCUGGCUCUCACCUGUCCUGGUCCUCACCUGUCCUGGCCCACUGCAGCACUCUGCAUGGCUUCAGGGAUGACCUAAGUGAGAUAAUGAAGGGAUGAACACAAGACAGAAACCCACACAGAAAAGACAGCACUUGCUCUUAUUGAGGGCACCAACUGCAUCCCUCAACAAAGCAGAACCCCAGCACGUUUAUUUUCUGUGUUUGAAUUGAGGAGGUGGAUUUAUUGCACCCACUGAACAAGGAGGCUGGUUUAGCUAACCUCUGUUGGAAGUCUCCAUAAGACAACAGUCUCGGGUUGUAGUUUCUCCUGGAGGAGAAAGUUGAGGUUGAUAGGUUCUACAUACACUGUUAACUUUUGCACUCAGAACUCUCUCCAGCCUCACCAGGAGAAGGCUUGGCCACUCCCAUAAGUCUGAGGCACUGGGGUCCUUGACAUGGCUGUGCUCAUGUCAAACAGCACACAUCCACUCAGGAUCUGCUUCAUCUGCUCUGCACCUUUUAGCCUUAUACUUGUCCUUAAACUUAAACCUCUCAGCUUCAUUUCCCAAGGGUUCUUCCCAGGCCCCAACCCACUCAAAACCGCUACAAUCUUGCUAUCAUAUCUUAUAUUCAAUUCAUUUCAAACAUUUUCACUGCCAAACCCUAUCUUUAAAGGAAAUAGGGGGAACUCAGUAGUAGUGUAUAUCAAAGCUGAGCUGUUGUCAUUCUGAUGGAAGGGACAAAGAAGUUCUCCCCUUGGUUCUCUGAGGGAGUCCCAGCUUAUAACACCUGCUUCUUUCUAAUAUGGUGAAAAGGCACAGACAUGAAAUUCCACAGAUACUACCAGUGAGGCUAGAACUCCUAGCUAUUCCUUUGUUCUGUUCUCUGACUCCUUCCUGCUUUGCUGAAAACCCCAAGUCUCCAGGUUUUGCCACAUGUCCAGAAGGUCCCCACAAAACUGUCUUCCCCUCUGCUGAAGACUGUACUCUAUAUCUUUUUUCUUCUGGUCCUAGAUAUCUGUUUAUCUCUUUCUUUAGAGUGCUCCAACACACAGGAUUUUCCAGCCUACCUGUAAUUGAGAUUCUGUAGCUUAUUUCUUACCUAGGAGGCUUGACAAGGGCCACCACACUAAAGUAUUAAGAGAACAGGGUAGACCUAGAGCCUUUGUGAAACUUUGCCUAGAGAAUAGCACUGACUUUUUAGGAGAAAGUGACCUGACAUUCCUAUCUGGGAUAUCCUGGGCCAAACCUGCUUUAUUGUCUUCAAUGAUUAAUAUUAAUUAUCAAUUGAACAUUACAAGUCACCAUGGAGACAAACUUUUGGAUAUGUGUAAUGAGGAAGUUUCUAGACUGAACUAACUGAGGUGGGAAUGCUGUAAAUGUGCAUGAUUCCAUUUCAUGGGCAGAAUGCUGACAAGGAGGAGAGCACUAAGCAUGUGCUAACAGUUGUAAAUCUCUGCUUCCUGGCUGCUGCUGUAAUGUGAUCACUUGUCUCAAGCUCCCUCUCCCGUGGUUUUCCCACUUCCCACUUCUCCCCACAAACUAUUAGCCCAAAGUAACUCUUCUUUCCUUAAGUUGCUUUUGUCUGUUAUUUUAUUACUCUGAGAAAAGUAACUAACAUUAAUGGAGUGGGGGUGGGGGCUUCUGAAGGCCCUUGCCACACUGUAGAAAGUUGUGAAACCAAGGAUGGUAUAGUAAGUCACUCUUCUGGGAAGGGAAAUGCAGGUGAGUCAAGAGUUCAAGCUCAUCUUUUGUUAAUACUAAAUUCGAAGUGCUUAGAUAUAUAAAACCCUGGCUCAAAAAAUCAACAAAACUAGACAGGAAUGGAGGAAAAGAAAGUCUGUAGAAUGGUGAAUUGUCACAUUUAAGUGUUGAAGUGGUUACUAUACCAAGUAGUUGUUAGGGUUCAUUUGUUUGUUUCUUUGUUGGAGACAGGGUUUCCCUAUGUAACCACUCUGGCCGCCCUGGAGCUUUCUUUGUAGAUCAAUCUGGCCUAGAACACACAGAGAUCCACCUGCGUCUGCUUACUGAGUACUAGUAUUAAAGCAUGCACCACCACCACCCAGCCUUGUUCCAGACUUGUAGCCUCUUGUUUAGAGUAGGAGAACCAGAAAAGCAAAAAUAGAGCAGCAAGACAUUUUACUAGAGAAUGUACAAGUUUGGGGUACACUGCCAGGUGUGACAGCAGAUAGCAUGAAUAGAAGGACAUUCAAAGGCCCCGGUUAUUGUUUGGGGGUGCCCUUUUCUGGGGUCCAGUAGAAGAGGGAACUGGGUGGGUGGCUCUCUGGUUGACAGGUUUGAGUUACAUAACCUGUCUUCUACUGCAAAUGACCUUCCCCAUGAUGCAUCUGAUUUAAAUCGUGUACAGCCAUUUAUGCAUAGGCAUAAGGCUUUAAUGAGAUUCUGUUUAAAAAAUUCAUUCAGGACAUGUACCCUGAACCAGUCCUGACUUGACCAGCCUUUCUUCCCUGGUGUCAGGAUGUAUUCUAGAAUAUCUUUGAAUAGAAACAGAGCUUUAGCCGGGGGAAGUAACUUAAUCCCAUUGUUUAAAGCUGGUAUAUGUGCAGGCUAAUAUGGGUCUAGGUCCCACAUUACCUAGAGGAUAUUAGGCAUAUUGUUAGGAAAGUGGUGUGUUCACUGAAGUCUUAUGCUUGUUUUUUUCAUAAGCAAGGUUGGCAUUCAGUCAUUCCUAGCCUGAAGCCUGAAGUCCCAUAGUCUUCUCAAGUAGGAGUCAGUGAAUAGCACAUAUAAUUUAUCUUCAGAUAUUCUGGUGUUGCUUCAAGGCAGGGGUUAACUGAGGAAAAGGUUACCUCAGCAUCUUAAACACUGUAGCUCUGGGCUUCAGUAAAAAAUGGGGUAGAAUUGAUUCUUGUCCUUUUCAGGCAAUUGAGCCCUGAAAGGAGCUUUUCUCUACCCACUGUCUCAGAUGCAGAAGAAUCCCAUUCACUGUCACAGAUGAGAGCAAACAUUUCCCAUUUGUCUGCUGUAUCAACAACCUUCUGUGAACCCUUUCUGUGCUAGGCACUGAGCAUGAACUCUUGCUGUUGAAUGGAAACAACACCAAGGGUGUUUCUAAGCUGAUGCAAGAGGCUGAAGAUUUACAGGAGCCCCCUCCUUAGAUAACAUGUAAGAACAGAGAAUGCACUGGCCAAGGCUUGGCCCUCAGUGCCUCUUCUCACAUACUUUUCUCCACUUUCCCUCUCCAGCUAACAGGAACAGCUUUGUGGUUGGGAAGAUGGUUCAGUCCACAUGGUCUAUAAGUAUGAGUGCAGACUCUCAGGACCCACAUAGAAGGCUAGCCUUAGUCACAUGUGCAUUUGACUCCAGAGCUGAGUAGGGGAAAACAGGCCAAAUCCCUGAGGCUUGCUGACCAGCUCUCCUAGCUGAAUGGAUUUGACCCCAAAGAUGACGAACAAUCUAGGAAAGACAUCUAACAUCAACCUCUGGCCUCAAAACCUACAUGGACAAACAUGUGCAUGUACUAGCAAGUACACGCAGCACAUGCAGAACACCCCACAAAGAAACACAGCCAUGCUUCACCUGAUUUUAACUUGCUAGUUUGUCCACCACCACCUCUUACAGGUAAGCAAUAGUUAACCCUUUCUGGAAGACUUUCAAUUACUGGCUUUUGCUAUCGUGUUAUUUGUGCAUUUAAUGAGUCCCAACUAAAGGCAAAUGCAUCCCCACCCUAGCAUACGUUUUGCACUCCGUCCAUGAAACUGAAAAAAGGGAUUUAGUUCAUGCUCCCUCCUACCAAUUAUCAUCCUGUUCUGGGUUAAGUUUAUUUUGUACCCUUGUUAAUAGAAGAACAGAACAAUGGUGGAAAGAAUAGAAAAUAAUAAAAAUGUAUACUAAAUUCUGCAUCAUCUAGAACUAAACUCUUCAACCAUCAAGCAGGUCGAGGGCAAUGUGAAUGCUGAGUGCUCACAUCAAUUCUUACCACUUUCAAAAAGGAAUGGAGACAGAAUGAGCCAGACCCAAUGGGGCUCAUCCUCUCACUCGUCAGACAAUUCUCCACAGUCUGCUAAUUCCCUACACGCUCUCAUUAUGAACAGUCUCCUAUUUAACACAGGAAAACAGACUCUGAUUUUUUUUUCUUUUUUCUGUUUGCCUCACUGGAAACGACUGGGAUUGCAAAUCUGACCUGUUUGGGUUGAUAAACUUGCUCAUUGAAGUGGAAAAAUCCAGUCAAGUUUAUGUUUUAAAAAUUGGUGAUGUUUCUAAAAACAGAUCAUUAAAAAUAAUGUGCUUAAGCAUGCGCUGUAGGAGGGAAUGGCUCUCUCUGGGGUAUGUCAGUGAUGCCUUCUCUGGGAGCUCUGGGGACCAAUGCCUCUGGAGCACAGGCACUGUAUGCCAGACUUGGGAGACUUCCUGAUAAAUUCAGCUUAGGGAAUCAGAGGCAGAGUUGAUUUUAAUGACAGACUAAGAGAAAUAAAUCUUCAAAGGUUGGGAAAUUUCACCUUUUACUUGGGUAAAAAUUCUACACUUUUCAUCUUAAAAAGACACCCCCUAAAUUAUUACAAUAUAUGCGAGUGGAAUAAAAUUCACCAGAUGUAUAAUGUGAAGCAAAAUAUAGCUUUAGAAUUAUUCUAACAUUGGUCUGUUAUUGAUUUUUAAAUAACAUAAGUGCCCUGAGCCCAAAAAAUCAACCUUAGAUUUGUAGACACAUGGCAUUGCUCUUCUUCUAUCAAUGGUAGCUGGCCCUGGGCUGGACAAUCCUGAACAGUAGGUUGGCUCAAUUGUAGUAUAUGUAAAGAGAGUUUGUGACUGCUUAAUGAUGGCUUCUUCCCACAUCUCUUUGCUAUGAGAUGCUCAGAUCUCCUCACAGCAGGGACGCUGCCUAAUGAGCAAUAUAAUCUCUAACCAUGAUUCAGGCCCUUGUGGGAAUGCAUUAUUUCAUUAGGCCACUUGUAUCUCUUGAAGCAGCAAACUGUUCAUUUUCUCAAUCACUCCCAAAGGAUGUACAUGGCCGAUGAAACUCCUUACUUACACUUUGGGCACAACUCAAUGACCAGGAAAGCUCUGGCCCAAAUCCAGAGAACUAACUCAGGAGUUUAGUGCCUGUGCAAACCACCAUAAUUGAUCUGAGCAUCAUACACAUUAAUAUUUCAUGUUUCUGUACAGUGUCGCCAGCAAUGUUUAUAUUGUUCUUGUAUAGCAACUCUUGAGACUUACAAAAAAUUACCUGUUGCUUGAACAAUCAUUGUUAAUUCAUUCAACAAAUAUUUUCCUAGGAGAUGAACAUUUUAGAAUGGACCGUGCUGAGUACAAAGCAAGAGAACAAAUAUGGUGCUUUGUGGGUUAUUCCUUGUGAUGCUGAGAGUACUAAUGUAUUGUCCAUUGAGAAAUAGCUAUAUACGAUCAUUUUAAUUCCAACGUAGAGUUUUUUGCUCAGUGUCUUGACAUCUAUCCAAGUAUUUUGACCUAAAGAGGAGGAAGGCAUGGCUCCAGGUACCUAAGAGUUAUGGCAACACCACACCAUCUCUUCCAUCACACAGGAUGGGGUGUAAAGCUAAGCCCUACCCCUGCGUGCUUAGAAGAGGUGGUACAGGCCUAGUGGUGUGGUCAGCCUCCGGACACUGGGAAUUAAGUGAACUUUUAAGAGUCCUCUCCCCAGUCUGUGGUUUCCCAGGGAGACAGUAGUAAAGCUUUAAUAUGUCCCAUCUCUCCCGCUCCUAGGUACCCACUGAGUACUUGUGUACAUAUGACCUUCAACUUAGCCACCGGCUAAAGCAAAUAUUUUGUAGAUGGAAACUGCCCACAGUUGAUAUUCUUACACUGUUCUUAGUCACCUCUAGUCCAUUUAUCACAAUGUUCAUCGUGGACAUUCCUGUGUGUACGUGGAUGCUUUGUAGCAUUUGGGAAAGUUCCUUUCUACACCCAUCUGGUAGAGAAAGACUUUCCCUGUGGGGCUGUUUGAUUCCUGGGGGCCUCUCCAAGCAGACUGCAUGGGUGUGAUGUCUAACUGUAUUUCAAGCAAUAGUUAAUAUUUUCAGUCUGCACUGUAAAGGGGCAGGACAAAAGACUGCCUGGCAGGCUGCUUGGUGGUGACUGGUAGUCAUCCGGCAGCAGUAAAUCAUCAGGGCCGGGCAUAAAUGUCAACUCUCACUGUUGGUGGCAGAAUGUUGCUGCCUCUGGCUUUUCUUGUCAGUGUUUCCUGAAUGGCUAUAAGAGAAGAUGGCAUAUUACACCAUUCUUAUCAGAUGUGUAGCUUUUCAGCUAUCCAGUGCCAUCCUCAUGUUGCCAAGGCUACUGUAAUUGCCUUCUGCACCUGACGGUGCCUGUUGACUUAAACCUUUAUCGAUUGGGUGAGGAAGGACAAACCUUCCUGUCAAAGCCCUGCCAUUCUGCAGGCAAGGAGUUCGGAGGAGAUCCAGUGAUGCUAUUCUGGGGUAGCAGCAAAGAUUAUUUUAGGCAGCCAGCUUCUUGUUUCUGGGAAUUUGCAUUUAUGAGUUCCAGAGUUAGCCCUAUUGCUCCAUUUGACUCCAAGGCACUCAUUAAAUUAACAAGUGUCCAAGCAAUGAAACGUUGAGAUGUUAUGUAUCCUUGACUACCUUCUGUGUUCCAUAGAGUCUCGCUAACAUCUAAGGUCAAGUUUGGGUUUCUGAAUAAGCAGAUGUUAACUAGUCCAGGCUAAAUACCGACUAAAUGGAAGUCUAGCUUACUGGAACAGUGUGAGAUGACUCAUCUAUUAUAUGACACUGCAUUCCAAAAGUCUCUUCUGCUUGAGCCUACUGUAGUGCUUAAUGGUAGAUUUGGGGAGUAAUUAAUUCCUUCGGGGAUAUAAAUGGCACUUAAGCUCUGUCCAUCAUCCAUCAACACAUUAGUAGAAACAAAUUCUUUCAAGUCUAAUCCCUAGAAGAGAGAGCAUGCACAUAUAUAUGCAAAUAUAUAUAUAAAUAUAUAUAGAUGCAUAUAUAUAUUAUAUAUAUAUAUAUAUAUAUGGCAAAACCCAAUAGUCUGAUACAAUCUCCCCAAGCAGUAGAACUUGGUGUGGUGAAAAACAGUGAAGAGUUCCCCAUCCUGGGCUACCUUGUUUAAUUUAAGCUUGCCCAUCUACUAGUCUAAUUUUUCUCAAGGGAUUGUCGCUCUAGUUCACUCAUUGAGAUUCAUUGACAUUAGUACAAGAAUUGGUCGAGAAAGACUAGAAGGUUCUCACUAGCAGUUAUAUGAACAAAGAUUCUUACACAUUAUGUUCCUUGAAACAUGUUCAUGCUACUGUUAAUAGGUAUAACAUAUCAAAGUGUUCUGCAGUCCAGCAUCUCUGACAUAUACACAUUAAGCAAGGGUCCAGAACUUGGCAGUUUGUGAAUUUCCAAUGUUCUGGGACAUCGUCCUUUGCUCACUAAGCCUACUGUAUCGUGAUUAAGGAAUUCUACUUCCUGCUCUCCCGCUCACUUUCUGCUUUGCCUUCAGUCUCCCCUCCUCUGUGGUGGAGGAGUAAGAGCAGUACCUAAGUUUUGAAGUAAUUGAGUGAACUGAGCUCUAUGCAUCUAGACUAUGCAUCUAGAUUCUGGGGUUCUUCUCUCCCUCAACUUUUUCCCUUGAACAGCAGUGGAUGUGCUUUCACUGGUAGAACCUUCUUGCUUGUGACAUUCAAUCCUAAGGCUGUUUGUCUUAUUAAAUGAUGUUAAGCCUCCACCCAAAGCUCCUAUAUGACCCACACUCAUUAUAGGGAGGUACUUGUUCUUGAUCUUAGCCAAAAGGCCAAGAAGCGAUGGAGGUACUUGUUCUUAAUUUUAAAUUAAGUUAGGGUAUUUUGUUUUUCCUUUAGCAUAUAUGGAAUUAAGACACAAUUACAAAAACAGGAAGCAUAAAAUAAAUUACAAGACUGACUCAUUGUGCAUUAAAUUAUAAAUUUACAUUAAAACACAAAUAUAAAUUAUAAGAGUCAAAUAAGAAAUUUAGCGUUAUAUUUGAGAUCAAUAAAGGGCAGGCCUUGGCUUUUGGCAGUGAGUGGGUGAACUGGCAUCCCUGGUGUCAGGCAUUGGAGACUGGCUCAAGGAUGUGCUGGAGUACCUAGAAAGCAGCAUGUAGCUGCCAUCCUAAUCUGUGAAGGAGAAGGGGGAAGACUCAGCAACCCAAAAGCUACAAUUCUAAACAAGUUCUAUGGAUAAGAAUGAUAAAGCUAGGACUAACCACAGUGUGAGUGGGUCACCUUCCUUGUGGCUCUCAUCUUUAAUACAGAAGGCUAGUCAACCCUAAUGCUAACCCUGCCACUCAUUACAAACACACAACUGGGCUCUAGAGCAAUGGGAGUCCAGUAAGGCCUGCUCCCUAGCCUUGCCCCAUGUGUAACCUUGUAAAAGUCAAACAGACUCAGUCCAGUUCUACAUUUCACUUGUGCUGACCACAGGGACUUCUGUAGAAGUGGGAGUGGACUAUGCAUCUAGAUUCUGGGGUUCUUCUCUCCCUCCACUUUUUCCCUUGAACAGCUGGGAUCUCCCUUAUGUAACAUGCUCAGGAAAAGGAGGACAGGAAGGUAAAAAUAUUACCACAGAGAUGAGUUCUGGGGAUGGAAAAAUGAAGAUGGAGGGACCCAAGGGGUAGGAGAGAGGAAUGGGAUGGGUCCCUGCCAUUCAUCUAUGCUUCGUCUUCCUGCUCACUGCAGGAGCUGCCUAAGACCAAGAGCCUUCAUGGAGGGUUUGGAGUGGAGACACAUCCAUCACCAUUGCUCAGUGUUUAAUUUUCCAGAAAUUGUCAUUAAAAACAUUUCACAGGCCUUUGAGGGAAGAAAAUUACCUGUAGGUGAUUGGCUGAGGUAAUCACCAGGCUGUUUCUGGAUGCUUAAGGUAUUUGUACCUUUUGCCUUUAAAAAAAAUGCUUGUUAGAAAGUUUAUUUUCCAGAUAAUCUUAGUCAUCAACUUUGCAAGGAUCAGAGCAAAAGAAAAAAGAAAAGGAUCAAACAUUGAACUUUCAAACCCUAUACUGGGGCACAGGAGGCUUGAAAUGAGGUGGGGGUAACCUUGGAACCAAACAGAAGGGCUGGAAAGAUGAGCUGGGAGACACUGCUCAUGAGAAAGAGAACCUUUACUGCAAACUCCUGCCAUUUUAUGCUGAGAAGAGCCUCCUUUCAUAAGUUAAAGCUUUCUCUUUUGUGCAGCAGCUAGCCUUGGAGGCGGGGACAAGCAGAGCGUGGUGGAUCUGAGGCCGAGCUAUGUAUAGAUUGCAGGGCUUUGCUUUCCAGACUCUGGAAACCUUCAAGCACUCUGAGAGUCACGAAGAAAUGAUCGCUCUGUUUGUUCCUUGAAGUAUAAAAAUGGUUUUAUUUUUAGACAUGACUGUGUGUGUGUGUGUGUGUGUGUGUGUGUGUGUGUGUGUGUGUGUUUUCUUUAAUCUACUGACAGCUGUCUUCAGAGGCAGCCAGGGGAAGCAGAAUAGUGCAGCCAGAGGUGGGCACAGGCAGGAAAUGUCUAAGAUGUCAAGCUGCCUCACCCUCAGCACCUUGGCAUUUAGGGUUCGAUCUUCCUGGGUUGGGAAGCUGCCUUAUACAUCUUGGAAUGUGAAACAGAACUUCUUACCUCUGCCACCUAGAUUGUAGUAGCAUCCCAACUCAAGCUAGGAGGACCACAAAGUGCUUAAUGUUUCCUGGGACAGAACUGCCCCUAGGUGAAACAUUGCUCUGAAGUCAGUCAUUCAGUCAUUGAUGUUCUGUCUUCAGCACAGUGGGCCUCUCCUGCAGCUCCUGCAUAUGUUUCUUGUGGUCAGCUGUGUUCCUGCACUAGUGUCUCUCAAGUCCUCUUUCCUUCCAGGCUCCUGUGCCACCUCUCCUGAUGUUACUGUUCCCUGUCUUCUGCUGUCCUCGAGCAUAGUGAAAGCAUUCUCCCCUCCUUCCACCCCCAUCCAUGGAACAAACGUAGUGUGUGCCAGUCUGUCAGGAAAUGUUUGCAUUGUAUUUACCAAAUGUAUUCACAUUAAGUGAAACUUGGCAAAAUAUGUUGCUUCUGCUGGAGAAACACAUUUCCACUGUGUUUUAUGUUGGCUUUGUUUAUGUGUGUAAUCCAAGGCAGGGCCCGGAGGCCGUGUUCAUGCUGGGGCUGCUGUGGUUCUAGUUGUGUGUUUGCUGUUAUUAAUCUAUUCCUUGUUGAUUUAUAUGUGGAUGUCAUACAUCAGUCAUGGACACCGUGCCUCUCCACACACACCCCAUUUCCUAUCCUUCCACACACUCCCUUUUCAACAGGUCCUGUUUCAUGUCUUUUUGAUUUGUUUUUUCAUUCAUUUUGUUUUGUUUCCUUUGUCUUUGUUCUGUGACCUACUGGGUUUAACUAGGCCUCUUAAGUGAGCACGGAUAUUAAAACAGCCAUCCACAUGCAGCUUCUGUUCUGCUGUUUUGGAUACUCUCUUUCCUAAUGUUUGAACCUCUAGAAGGAAAGCAGAGAUACAGUCUACUGGUGAGAGGACUUGAGUCAAAGUACCUUGAUAUUCCCUAAUAAGAGAAGGUUGUGUUAUCUAGUGGGGAGCCCCCAAUCUAUGGAUAUGCAAGCUCACUCCCCACUGCACUUAAGGGUAUGCUCAAAGAAGAGAGACUAUUUUCUUAGGAAAGGCAAACUAAACCAUGAAAUCAAGGCCAGGAUUGAAACCUAAAUUUAGAAUUUGGAAGUGGAAUCUGGCAGGAAUCAGAUAGGUUUAGAAGAACAAUACCCUACCGUACAGCUCCAGGGAUAACAGCGUGACUCUUUGUUUAGAACCCCUGAGUAUGCCUUCCUCCCUGGGAUGCAAGGUCCCUCUGACCUGCUUCAUAUGCCCAUUGCCUUCUUUUCCUAAGCCCCUGCUCCCUCUUCUUACAACCAGAGAGAUAAGGUGGGCCAUCACUUUCAGUUCCCAGACAUACCAAACUCUUUCUUGCAUUUAUUUGGAGAGUCCCACUCUUCUCUUAUGCCUGGGGAAUUCCUACUUACUCUUAGCCUGAUUCACACAUCUUUAUGAUACUGCUUCUGGGUUCAGUGCUGAUGCUGUACUUCUGUAUCUAAGGAAAUAAUGGAAUUGUUCACUUCUGCUCUUCUAUGAGUUUCUAGUCUAGGUGCAGAUUCCUAGAUGUUCUCUGCAUAGAGGAAUGGGCUGGGGAAUGAUCCAGUUCUCACAGAACUAAUUUAGAUUUGCCAUCCUAGAAAAGACUUUUGCUGAUUUCUAGAGACUUCUGCCCAGGCCCAACCUCAUAUAUGAGGCUCUCUGCUUCUGACACCAACCUGCAGGCUGUGUUUUUCAUGAUCUGUCUUUGUGAGUUCCUCAGUGGCAUCUUAGAACUCUUUUCCCUAAGAUUUAGCUGUGUUUCCUCCUAUCCUUCACUCUCCUCUAUAAAGAUGUGGGCGGGCCCAUUUUCAUAAAGAAUUUCACUCAUUGCUAAAUUAACAAACUCAUUAGUUCUAUAAAGGCAUCUUCUAUCCUACAAAUUUCCAUAUCUUUGAAUUAAUUAAUUAAUGUAUUUUGUUACUCUUCAGUUAAUGAGCAUCUCAAAGAUGUAGAAAAAUUGCAAUUUUACCACAGAGAGUUCACAGUUGCUUCAUUUAACAUUCCUUCUCCAUAAUUCAUGCUCUAGGGACUUCUAUGCUGGGAAUUGACCAAGCCAUUGAGGGCAUGUAAGAGGAGAGACUGUACUGGCACAGGACAUAGGUAAAUGACACCAAGCAACUUAACAGAGAAAUGAUGGCCUCACAGUCGAAGGUUAAAGCCCAUCAUUUUAGGAACAUCAUGGCAUCAGGAGCUUGAGGCAGCUGGUCACACUGGGCCUGCAGUCAAAAAGUAGAGAUGAAUGCUUCUGCCCAUUUUGCUUUCUCUUAUUUAUUCAACCUGGGCCUCAUCUUCUGGGAUGGUGCUGCCUACAUUUUGAUGUACCUUACCGCCUCAGUUGACCUAAUCUAGACAAUCACUCAUGAGCAUGCCCAGAGAACUGUCUUCCAGGGAAUUAUAAAUCUUGUCAAAUUGAUAGUAUUAACCCUUAUACUCUGGUGUAUGCAACUUGAGUACAUGCUUGCCAUUCACCCUGUCUAACUGUGUUGAUACUGGUCACUCCUUGUCAUUCUUAUCUUUAAGAAUGGCAUAAGAUACAAUGAAGGGUAACACAAAACCUUUCCAUAAGAAGUUUGUCUUUAUAAUAAAACCUGCUAUUUGUUUAAAAGUGAUGGUGGAGGGUGAAUGGGAAGGGUGUUCUUAGUCCUUGGUUGACACUUGCAGCCAAUUAAAGUGUCCAAGCAGAAGCACUUAUGUCUGCCUGGAGCCCAGGCCAUUUCCAGUGUAGCCAUCAUUUCCAAACUACAGCAAAUCCAUGGUUAAGAUGAAUUUACCUAUAAAAUGAAGAUAAUAAUUCUUUAUAUCCAUUUUUCCUUUUCUAUAAACUCAUUUUGAAGGUGAUUUCCUAACUUUCUGAGGCAAAGGAGCCUUCUGUCUAAGAAUAAAACUAAUUAUAAUGACAAAUUGACCAAAAUGAGAAAAACAAUCUGUGGGCUGAAAAUUUCCCCAAAGCCAUGAAAUAAAUAAAAUGUCUUUUAAAUACCUGGUGGAAGAGGCUGAUAAAAGAAAUUUAAUUGUCUGUUAAUUUUUUAAAUCAAUAAUAAUGUGAAUUUAAAAUGAACAAAUGAUAGCAAAAUAUUUAAGCAUAUAAUAUAAAAUAACAGAAUUUCAUGAGCUUUGUGGAUUUGCAGGUUGAUGGAAUAUAUUCAUAGUAAAAUAGCUAAUGAGUCUUUAGAUUUGCUUUGAAACACGGCAUCUCUCAUACAGCCCUCUUCUCCUCUGUGUUAAAUUGCUUCAGGUGAGAUGGCUGGACUCAUUAUUAGUUUUGCACUUUGGCUUUACUAAGAUUUUCCUCAUUCUCACAAGUGAAUUAGCCAAAAUUAGAAGAUAACAAUUAUUUAGAAUUUCAAUUGUUUGAAAAAAGUUCCACAAGAAAGAAAAGUUUUGGACCUUGGUAAUCAGGCAAGUUAAGAGAGGGUUACUACUGUAAGUGACCUGACUUUAACUGUCACUACGAUCCAGUAUGACACACCCAUCAAAUUCCCUGGAUACAGUCCAUUCUAAGGGGACCUUCUCUAACCUUAUUCUUGACCACAGACUAACCUGCUUCUCAAGAGGCCGGCAAGUUCAGAGUCUUGUGGCACUUACUUUCUUCACAGGGCACCUUCUCUCUUCAUCUCCACAUGACAGAAGCAGUUGUAAGCUCCCUUGGGCCUCUUCUAUAAUAGCUCUAACACCAUUCUAAUUUCCUUCCAAAGACCCUACCUCUCCACAUUAUUGCAUUGGUAUUAGAUGUCAACAUGAUAUUUAGUGAAGAUAGCAACAUUCAGGCCAUACACUGAUCUGAACACUGAUAGACUGAAUAUGCUCAUAGAAGCCUGGGAGAUGUAUAAAAUAUAGAGACACUAUAGGAAGAGUCAAGCAAGAGGGCAUUUUGUGAAACAAAAGUGAUCAGACAGAAGGAAAUUAAGUGAGCAACUGCGAAAAACAUGGACAAUUACAUUAUUGAAAAAAUAAUUUAGUAUGGAUACUUUAUGCCAAGAUUUUAAAUAGAUAAAACUAUAGUAAACUAUAGAGACUAUAUAUUAUAUAUAUACUUAUAUAUAUACUUAUAUAUAUACAUACAUAUACUAUAUAUAUACAUACAUACAGAGAGAGAGAAAAUCUCAUCAUGUACAUAUAUAAAUGAAUGUAUUUAGUGAGGGAUGAUAUAAUAUAACCAGAAAUUAUAUUCUGAUUAAAUUUUAAAGACCUUUUGAAUAUUUAGAAAUCAUCAGAAUGAGAAACUCCAUGCAUUUGACAUGUCUCCCAACAGGUAGUGCCUGGUGACAGCCUACACUGGGCAGUAAUCCCAUGUGUGCAAUCAACCCAAAUAUGACUUGGAGAUGAAAAGUAACUCACUCAUUCACACAGUCAUUCAAUUUCAUUAAAUUCUUUAAUUAACAACCACAAAAAGUAUAUUCCCUAUAAGUUGGCCUUUGAAUGACUUGGCCAAGAAACAUAUUAGCCAAGGCAGAAGAGGCAAGAGUUGGGUGUUACUGGCUAAUCUCGAGGAAUGAAGUUUAGGUCUGGCCCUUGAAGUAGAAAGCUCUUGACAGUCCAAAACAGAACAUUCAGGAAAAGAGCCAAAGCAUACAUUCUAGGACUGUUGAUAUCAAAAAGAUGAACUUUUGUCACCCUACCAGGAGUUCCCAAUAGUCAAGUAGCAGCUGUAUCAAUGCACAGAAUUUAAGACAUUUUGGACAUAUGCUGGUGAUUUAGUGGCAUGGGCUUGGACUUUGUGAGCAGAGGCUAGAUAUGACCAUACAGGAUGUUUGGCAAUGGGUUUUAAGAUGGGCUACAGCUCUGAUGAGAGAUCUGGUUGCAGAAACGUUCUUUCUGCCCACAGCAUCAGUGAGCUUUAUCCUCAAUAAAGCUGUGAACCAUAGCUCCAUGAGCACUUAAGAUUAGAGUUUCCCAUGGAGCUCAGGCACUGGCUUUGUAGCAACACACUAUAAACAGCAACAGCUUUGUGUUCAAUUUCUUUGGUUAGCACGAUAUGGACAGUGUACAGUUCCCUAGAAAGGUUGAUGCCAUUAUCCCACUUUACAGAAGAAACUGAGCCAUCAGGUGGGAGAGCUACCCUGAAUGUCCCAAGUGUGCAUGAUUCCUGUACUGCUUCCUUUUGAUACAAUCCAAGCUUGAUUUACUGUCCAAGAGACACUGCCUGAGUAACGUAUCUCAGUUGUCUUUCAGUAUCCAAGCAGAACAACAGAGACCAAGACUUGUGUAUGCUGAAUGCUGUAGGGCCUGUGGUUGGAGGGGAUAUCUUUGUUGAUGUUCACUAUGUGACCAAUACCACAGAGUUCAGAGUGACGUCCAACAGGAUGCAUUGCACACUCUGGCUUCUCCAUUAUCCAACUGAAGGUGCGCAUUGCUUGUUGGCCUAUUGAGCUGUUAGGAGGAAAAAUUGCAAAGUUUGUGCAAGUUACCAUUAUUGUGAACAAUAAGUUCAAACUCAAGCAUUCUCUAUUAGCCCAGAUUUGGGCUGACUGGAAAUAUGAAGACAUGUUUCUCACUGCUGUAGAUUCGCUUGCUUUAUUAAAAAGGCAAACCGGAGGAAAAAUAGUUCCUAUCAUCCCUUAAAGCUUGACUACUUUGUUUGGUGGGAGCUAGCAAUUUUAUAGACCUAUCUACAACAUUAUUUUCUAAGAUUCAAGUAUUUUGGGAGAGCAGACAGUACACCCUGCUGUAUAUACUCAUUGUGUGCUUUGAAAUACAUUCCUUUUUGAGAACCUCAAAUUUAGCAAAAGCUUGAAAGUUUUGAAAGCAUCAAUUGGGAGAGCAUGAGUGGCUGAUAUCCAAAUGGAAAGACCCUCAAGCUCAGCUAGGACUCCCAUAUUCAUGUCGUCCUACAGAUACAGACUGUUUUGUCCUGUGCUGGUGUAGGUUGUAGAGGGACUGAGCCUAGCUAUCUAUAUCCUUUUCUAAAGUCACUGAGUACUGCUGAUGUACACCCAAGUUUAAAAGAGCAGUCCUCCGUGCACACCUGACUGUCCUCUAAAUACCUCAUUUUCCUGAACCCAUAUUUUCAUCUAUAAGACUGAGAAAAUGAAACUCAUCCUUUUAUUCUUAAGAGCUGUAGGGAAGCAACACAUGUUCAAUGGGUCUGAUUUUGCCAGGAAAUGACUUACAGGGCAUGGCAUUUAAUCUUCCCAAGAAAUCACAAUAUUUAAAGAACAAACUGACUCUCAGGUAAAGAGUGAACUAUUGGUUCAUCUUAGCUUAGAGUUUGCCACAAGUCCACUCAGCCCCUCCUUUAUUUUGUUAUUGUUUCCCUUUCUAAAUGACUAGGAUUAAUUCUUAUGUUUUGGUAAUGGUUAUGUUGCUUUUCAAGCACUCCCUUGCUGUUUCAUUGUCUGCAUACUGUAGUGAGAAUUUUAGUUUCUUUAAAAAAUAUAGAAAUGUUAUAAGAAUAUGUUUUUGUUUUAAUCCUAGGUGUGGGAUAUGGGGCUGCUUCAGAUUAUCUAUACAAGCUGACUAUGAUUUGCCUCAUGCUCUAGCAGGGGCAUGAUUUUGCCAGUUGCAGAUAGCUUGCAUAAGGACAUUUGGAAUUCUGGGGACUUUUGAGUGGGUAGAUAAAUGCUAAGGUCCUGAGGGGAUGUUGGAGGGUUGUUGUUUGGUUGCUGUUGGUUGCAGUUUGAUAAGUAGUCGUGUGAAAAUAAGAAACAAUGACAAAAAGAUAUAAGAUAUCUUGACAGCAACGUUCAAACUUGCCCCAACAACCUCGAUGUCCCUAAUCAGCAGGAAGUAGUAGUCUCUCAAAACAGUAACCUCCUUUCCUUUUCCCCCUUCUAUCCUUUUUCUCUCCUACCUAAUGUUUGGGGAUUGAAAGGGUGAAAAAGGGUGAGUGGAGAAGGGUAAAAAGAACCCACAAUGUAACAACGGCCCAUCUACAGCAUACAUCCCAUUUUAGUUUAUAUUUACCCUGGUUGAUAAGCAUUCAUGCUCUAUUUAGCUCCCUUCUACCACAAAGAAUUCCACAACUUACAUCCUCAUUUGUGACUUUUGAAGAUUUACAUGGAAUUAUUUCUUAGAUUUGCCCAGGAGUUAGAUCUGUGAGUCAUGUUAUAUAUGCAUAUUUGAUUUCAGGUUGGCUUCCAGAAUGGAAGCCGUUAUAUGAGAGGUCCCAUAUCCUUACCUUUCCACCAGUAUUUGAUAUGAAAUACCUCUUGGUCAUUCUGAUAUCUGAAAGUAGCAUUUAAUUAUUUUAGUUUCCAUUCUUUGGAUGGCUAGUUGGGAUUGUAUAUCUUCACUUUUUUUUUUAAAUCUAAUGUUCCUUUCUGAAAAUUUGUGUUUUGUGUCUUUUAUCUACUAUACAUUCUUAAUAGCCUUAGUAUAAAUACCUUGUUACUUUCAAAUGCUACAAUAAUUAACUCUCAAUUUGUAAUUUAAUAACUUAUCAAUGAUAUCUUCUUUUUACCAAAUAUAACUACUACAUCAUGCAGGCAAAUCUGGCAUACUGAUACUUAGUGGUUAGUGACUCCGGAAUUAUUUUUAGGAAAUAAUUUCUAUUCCAAAUAAGAACUUUAGCUUUUUAUUGUAAAUGAGGAAAUUAUUAUUUCAUGUUACUCAAUCAGAAACAUGACUUGAAACUCAGUAAUUAACUGUUCACAACUUAGAUCAUGAUAUUCACAACAUUUUAAAAGCAAUCAGGUAUCAAGUACAUGUAAAUUAUUUUCUGAGUUUUACUCAAAGUUCUCUCAAAAUUUUUUCUAUAGCCUUUCAUUCAAUUCCACUGAACUUUCCUUUCUGCCCCUAAAUUCUCACAAAGUGUCUUAAAUUGCCUUGCAACCAAGCUGGUUGAAAUUAUAGCUUUGACUUUCAUUAAGCUAAUUACUAUUUGUACCCAAAUGGAGCCAUUUUGCUCAAGUAGCAUGAAUAUCCAUUCUCUGUAGUGUUUCUGCCUUGUCUAGGAAUGUCCAAAAAAGCACAAAGGUGUAGUGUCUAUGUGCCUUGUCUCCUUAGGCAGGGGCCAUUAUGUCCUGUUUCUGUAAGCUCUCAGUGCUCCUCAAAUUUGCAAGAGGAGUGAGGAGGCUGGGACCAGACAGGAAGCUGGCAUAAGCCCCUUUUGAAAUUUGUCCAUACAAAUGCUACCUUUAUUGGCUUUGUGUAUUAGCAGGUAAUAUGCACAAUCUGUGUGAGGAAAUGUCCUACUGUCCCUCAGGAGGAUGGGGUGGUAGAGUAGGGUUGAGAAGUACUGCAUCAGAGAGCUAAGCUACUUAAUAGAACGCGCGUGUGCACGCACACACACACAGACACACACACACACAGACACACACACAGACACACACACAGACACACACACAGACACACAGACACACACACAGACACACAGACACACACACAGACACACAGACACACACACAGACACACAGACACACACACAGACACACACAUAGACACAGACACAGACACACACAACACACACACAGACACACACAAGCACACACACACAAUACACACACACACACACACCUGUAUAGUGCUUUAAAUUUAUGAAAUCUCUCAAGGCAUGUUUAUUUUAAGAGUUGUGGCCAAAUCAGCUUAUUUUUAAAACUGUACAGUUCAGACUCCAUUCCAGCAGAAGGCUGAAGGCUAGCCAUGAGAAGCAUGGUGGAAAAUGAUCCUCUAAUUCCUUUGCUAUGCCUAGAAUUGACUGCAAAGGAAAAUAUCAUUUAAAAAAAGGAGUAAGGAGGUAGUAUGGGUAGUUUUUUUUUUUCAAUUAGAUGGGCUUAGGUUGUGUGUAAGCCCUGAUUCAUUGCACAUAUACUUUCCCAUGAUGUAUCUGAUUUUAACCAUAAGUAUACUCAAUCAUACAUAGGCAUAAGGUAGGAAAUAAAGGGUUUUCCCUAAAUGUUCACUCAGAGGACAGUUAGUUUGACUUUGCAAUCUGGAUCCAACCCCCUGGCUCUAGGGGGUUAUACCCAGAUGUAUUCCAAGAUGUGAUCAGUGGUAACAAGAACUUACUAAAGAGUUGUAAAGGGGAGCUACUUAGCACACACACACACACACACACACACACACACACACACACACACACACAAAGGAGUAAAAUGGGUCUCAUUGGAAGAACUCCACCCGUUUAUCCAUUUAUUGACCAGCUUCAGGUGCAGCCCCCAUGCCAGGUGCCUCAUGCGUAGAGCUUCCCACAGAGGGCUUUUCAAAAUGAAAAAGUGUAACCUAAUAAGAUGAUGGGGGAAAAAACGUCACUCUGCCCCACCCCUCCUACCUGAACUUCAAACCUUUGCUAUUUCAACUGCUGCAUGGUGAUUUUGCAUAAGCCUCCUGUAAACUGGUCUCCUGGGACCUUUACUGAAGCACUUGCAGCUUAGGAAGGAAGCCCUCUGUAAGCACUUCAGGCUCUCCAUGGACACCUGCUUAAUGCCUUCAUCCCUUCCAACCACAUAGUCCUCAUCACCUGUCACCCACAGCUACAUCCAUCCUCCUUAUCUCCCAGGUCUCUUGCCAUGACUCAGCUGGUGGCAUCUUUCCUGCUUUGAUUUCUUGAGUUGGCAACAGAGGCCAGUGCUAUUUUUAACUUGUCUCAGACAGGAGGAUUGGGAGGUAGCCCUGCAGCCUUCUGCUUUGCUUUGCUGUCACUGCUUGGCCUUCUCUCUCUAUUCAUGAAUUCCUUUGUCCUUCAAGUCGGCAUUGUCUUUGUUUUAACUCUUCACAGAACCCAACAAGGUCUGAAGCCAAACUCCCUGCUCUUCCUGUCUUAAAUGAGUAAGCAUAUUAGAAUGCAUGGCUGAAAAGGUUUCUUUCACCUAUGCAUAGGUUAUGAUCAGCAUCCUGAGCCGAACACAUCAGCCACCUAAACGGGAACUCUAUUAGGGCUGGUGGUUAAAUAAAUAAAUAAAUAAAUAAAUAAAUAAAUAAAUAAAUAAAUAAAUAAAUAAAUACUGCUGUAUUAAAUAAGAGCUGACUGUUUUUCAGUGCUUGAACUGAGAGUGUUGUGUAUUUUAGGCUAGUUUACUCAAAUGUUUCUGAUCGUUCGAAAACAAUGCAGUAAACAGAUGCAUUCCUUUAGUGCCUUCAAGCUUCCGCAGCUCCUGUAUGCACUGUCUAUUUCAUUAUAUUAUAUUUCUAUUAUAAAUCUGGUGACCCAGAUUUAUAAUGGGUAGAUUUUAUUGUUUGUAUUCCACAAAACAGAUUCAGAUGCAAAAUUAAAAAUAAAGAAGUCAACUUUAUAAUCUAGUACUGGUUUUGAAAACCAGUGUGUUUGGGAGAUUGGACAGAUUCACAUAGGACCAGCAUAUCCAAGUGAUCUGUUCUUCGGGGGGUGGGGCUGGAUUCCUGGAAUGAAUAAGGAAGGCUUUGCACCCUCCUCUGUGCACGUUCCUCUGUGUGAACUGAUUUCCCUCAUAUCCUUUCCUUCAGAAGAACUUCUGGUCCCCAGCUUCCACUGGCCUGCUCCCAUUAGACCCCUGGAAGCUCCUGGUGGAGAAAGAACAUGUAUGUGCCUGUUGGGAGAGUAUUGCACUUCUUCAGGUUGUUUGUAGAAUUCCUCAUUGUUAAUCCUUGCCUAAUGGUGCUUUCAAGCUCUGAACAGACUUUUGAGCUGCCAAGUUCUAUGGUGAUAGGCUGUGAGGGAUCCCUCUCAGCGGCUUCUGAUAGGGAGGUGUCUCACUACAGUCCCAUGAUUCGUUGUCAUCACAAGUCAGUCAAUGACCCAAUGUCUGCUCCACCUAGAAGCUGUAGCAUGCAGGCUCCUGUUGACUUAUCUGCACAUUACUCAAAGUCUUUUUGUGUUCCAUUGUUUGCCUAAUUCACAAAGUGCUCAAGACUUUCCUCCUCGGUAGGGAGGGUGGGACACAAGUUCAGGCUUUGAGGUUUUUUUUUCUUUGUUUGUUUGUUUUUUUUAAGUAGUUUGUAUGUGCUCCUUCUUUUCUUCCAGUUCAUUUUAUAAGACAUACAAGACAUGCUUUCUACUCAUGAAGGUAACAAUGAUAUCCAUGCGCUUGGUCUCCCACUGUCUUCUCUGCUCAUAAAUUGGGCAAGCUGUCAAAAUUAAAUUUGGUCUUGUUGUUCCAAUAAUACAAACAUUCUGCAAUUUUCACUUGUAAGUUUUGACACUUGCAGGCCUCUGGCACCUGGAGCUCUCCACAGCAAUCUCCAGCCUGGCUAUGUGCAUGGGUUCAGGUGAAGGGGAGAGAACUCAGGCAGAGAGGGGGAACAGCUUUCACUGCCCCUGCUGCUGGCAAGAGGUGUAGAGGAGCUUCUGGCAGUGGUUUCAGGAGAGUAGAUCUCUUUCCCAAGUGGUAGUAUUACAGCUCUUAUGACAGAAGCUCUCAGAUGAUGGAAUAAUUCCUGCACAUUUUUAAUCCUGAACACUGACUCUUGAACUUGGAAAGACCUCAUCUACAUAUUCGGGGUCAUGGUCCUGUUUCUACAACUGAUCUAUCUUGAGCCUACAUGACCUGUGGUCAUGUCCUCACCUGUAGAGGAGGGGUUUGGGGCGUUGUUCUCUGUGACUGAUCUGUCUUGAGCCUAUGUAACUGUCCUCACCUGUGGAGGAAGGGCCUGGGGCAUUGUUCUACCUGACUGGUAUGUCUCAAACCUCUCUACAGGGGUCUGGGGUGGGGGGAGGGGGCUGCAGCUAGUGAGGUCUUGGUCUGGAAGAUUGGGAAUGUGCCUGCCCUUCCUAUUAGGGUUUCCAGGGAUUCGACCUAUCUCAACCAGGAAUCAGGGUACUUUUCUCAGACCACCGCCCCACAGACCCUUUUUUUUAACAAGCCCUGUUUAAGUUUUCCCAAAAUAAAGUAAAUAUUUUAUUCUCCAGAGCACAUAUCUCAUUGGCAUUCCUCUCCUCUGAUGUAACAGCCGCCUUUGAAUCAAAGGUGCACACAUAGUGUGUUAUUGUCAUUACAGUGUGUAAUGAAUAUUUGUGUACACUAGAUGUCCCUUAGAUUCCAGGCUGAUGAAGGAGAUAAAUGAUUCAAUAGCAGAGAAUCAAACCUUGAGUUCCAUGAUGCAUGUUCUAUUCUGUCCCAUACUGAAGCACUUUAAUCCUCUUCCAAGGCUAUAUCUCUUCUCAGCAGUGUGCUAAGUGUUUCAGAGAUAAACUUUGAAUUUGAGAUACUUCCCCAGUUUAAUUAAAAUAUAUAAAACGAGCUCUAUGAAGUGGUAGAUAUUAUAUAGGGCAUAAAUAGAAGAACAAAGGCAAAAAUGUCCCCUAAUAUUUACCAAGAACAUACUGUAUACAAGGAAAUCAUUUUGGACUUCCCCUCGUAUUAUCUAAUUUAAUUCUUCACUGGUCUUUGACGUAGGUACCACCUCAGUUUUUACAAAGGCUCAGGAGUUUAAAGUUGCUCAAGACCUUGUCUCAGGGUUCCAUUGCUGUGAAGUGACACCAUGACCAAGGCAACUCAUAUAAAAGUAAACAUUUAUUUGGUGCUAGCUUACAGUGUCAGAGGUUCAAUCCAUUAUUAUCAGAGCAGAAGCAUGGCAGCAGACAGGCAGACAUGGUGCUGGAGGAGCCUAUAGUUUUAUCUACAUCUUGAUUAGAAGAUUCCUAGAAGACUCUCUUUCCCUAGGCAGCUAGCAGGAGGGUCUCUUCCACAUUAGGUAGUACCUCCUGCCUUCAAAGUCCACCUACACAGUGACACAUUUCCUCCAAGACCACGCUUCCUAAUAGUGCCACUUCCCAUAGGCCAAGCAUAUUCAAACCACCAUAGACCUUGUUUUUCUAAAGCAUGCUGUUUCUACUGCAUAUCACUGAAAAGGCCUCAGGAACAAUAUAAGAAAAAAAGUAGGAAAGAGUGCGACCAUUUAGUUACUGUCAGCAUCUCACUCUUCUCUCACUUCUUCUUUCCUCCUGCAUACCAUACAUCAAUUAGACUUAUCCCUGAACAACUCUGGCUACAAGAUAUGUUCUAAGAACUUAAAAUUCAAUCCAUUUGGAUGUGACUCCAUGACUCUCUGUACAAUUCCUGAUGGCUUUGUAACCAUGAGCAUUCCCUCUGAAGCCAUAGAAGAGAGAGCUCUCCUCUUACAAUUCAGGACCUCUCAUCCUUUUUACCAAGCUAGUAACAAACUCUCUGGUGGCUCCACUCCUAGAAGAUGAUUACCAUAGCUCUAAUACAUCUAACCAAUAUCAUAAAAGUUCAUGGUUGUAUUCACUGAAUGACCCAAAUUUCAUCAGUCUCACAAUUUAACACUCUAACUAAAGCCAGCAAGCUUCAGCACAUUAGAAAAUGACUGUCUAAAACAGCUUGGAUAUCAAUAUUUGUCAUACAUUCUUCCUCCUCAGUGUAACAGCUAAAGCAAUGCUCAUUUAGCUGACGUGCAUUCUCUGGGAGGUGUUUACCCAACAGUCAUCACUCAUGUUUGUUCAUGAGGUAUUGGGGUGAUGAGCCAAGCAGCUUGUAUUCUCAGCUGGGCCUGGAGCCUGCUAAGUUUGGCACUGAUUAAUGAUGUGCAAGGAGCAAGCAGUGUGCAGAGCCACCUUAGAAACCCACUUAACCAAAGACAAAUAGCUGAAAGUUGGCUGAGAAGUAAGGGGGCGUGGCUUUCGCAACAGAAGGGUCAUUCAAAGACACUAGUAAGACUUCUGGCUAUCUAACUAAAGAAGGGCCUAGCCCAGGAUUGAUCAUGUUUGGGGGUCUAGACGUGUGGUAGAUACUCAGGAUAGUUCUCAGGCAUGUUAUUGAUGUACUAGUGCUCACUGACUUAGGACAAGGCUAUCUUCUAAGAUACCCAUGGUAAGUUGAAAAUAUCACAUGUUGAAAGUAAAUUUAGCUGAGCACAGUGGUGUAUACCUGUAAUCCUAGUUAUUCUAGAGAAGAGGUUAUUAUAGCUUAGAAUUUGAGGCUAUCCUGGGCAACAUAGGCCCCAUUAAAAAUAACACAUUAAAUGAACUUAAUCUAUACAAACAACAUAUCUUACUGGCGUAAUAUCCUACGCAGUAUUUCAUGGCCCAACAAUUGUUUGGCAGCAAUGGCAGACUUCUCCACUGCCCAGCAUCAGGACGAAGUGCCAUGAUACACAUCAUAACCCUAGGAAAAGAUCAAAAUUCCAAGUGCAGCUUCUAUUAAGAUACUUGGAAAGAUCUUAUGCUACAACAGGGAGGUUCAUAGCCUUACCUUGUCUUUACAAACACACUCUUCACUUACAACUGUUUUGAUGUGGUCUGGUUGUGCUGACAGUACCACCUAUAUUUUUUUCUCAUUUCAUCUCCACAUGUAGUAGGCUGCUUGGACAUCCAUUUAUUUACUCUAUUAUUCUCUCUUUGGUCUCUUUCUAUCAUUUAAGUAGAACAUAAGAAAGGGAUAUGAUGGUUUUUAAAUUGUACAGAAAAUGCCAUUAUUUUUUUAAUCAUGAGCUCAAAUAAAACACAGAACUUCCUAAAAGUUAUUGUACUUUACAGGAUAAACACAUUUUCUCUUUACCACCAUGGGGAUGUUUGUCCCUAGCAAAAACACCUUCCUCUAUUUUAGUGUUACAUUCCAAUGAUAUUGCUGGACCAAAGACUUGGAAAAUAGUUCCUGAAGACAAAAUCGUUAUUGUAUGGAGCUGGGGUUUCUCACAAACAUGGUAGCAGUACUCAGAUCAAAAGUCAUAUGGAGGGCUGGAGAGAUGUCUCAGUGGUUAAGAGCACUGACUGCUCUUCCAGAGGUCCUGAGUUCAAUUCCCAGCAACCAUAUGGUUGCUCAUGACCAUCUGUAAUGGGAUCUGAUGCCCUUUUCUGGUGUGUCUGAAGACAGCUAUAGUGAACUCAUGUAUAAUAAAUAAAUCUUUAAAAAAAGUUAUAUGGAAACCUAACAUCACUUGGAGAAAGUACAGAAAUGUGGAAGGAUGAAACUUGUAAGCAGAAAAUCGUGAUACAAGGGCGCCGUGCCUGGGCUCCACUGCUGGUCUUUGGCUUUUUUUUUUUAAAGAUUUAUUUAUUUUUAUUUAUGAGUACACUGCAGCUGUCUUCAGACACACCAGAAGAGGGCAUCGGAUCCCAUUACAGAUGGUUUUGAGCCACCAUGUGGUUGCUGGAAAUUGAACUCAGGACCUCUGGAAGAGCAGUCAGUGCUCUUAACCUCUGAGCCAUCUCUCCAGCCCUGGUCUUUGACUUUUAUCAUCCAUCCCUAUGUAUGAAGAUUGUGCAUUUCCAUUAUCAUCUGCAAGGUGAGGUUCAGACUGCAUUGUUGCAUGUAGCUGCCCCAAAUGUCUACACUUGGAUCUCAAGUUGUCUUCAAAUUCCUGGUUCUUCCUAAAUGUAAAACAAGCACAAGCCAUUUGUAGCCAACACCUCAGAGCUUCUUGACAAGAUUCUCACUUUUAAUCUUGGGCUGGGGUUGUACUUGACUGUCCAAUUUAUUGUGAGUCUGAGACUUAGAACAAGUCAGAUAUUUGACCAAGGAUGCACAGAUGGUGAGUGAGCCAAUAAUCAAACUCAGUUCUUCUGACUCAGUUUUAACCCUUACAUUGGACUUUCCUCUCAUGUCAAAAUGAUCAGAGCAGCAGCCUUUCUGUCACCUCUUCUUUUUAGAAGAAACUCUUAGCCUCCAUCAGGAACCUCCUCAGCUCACAGAGGGCUUCUGGACAUUGCAGUUGGGUGGGGCUCCUCCUUUAACCUACAGAGUACUUGGGGUGAUCGCUGGGCAUCUGUGCCUGCACAGCAGACAGUUAGAAACUUGGGACUUGUAAGCUUUCAGGUUCAUAUAAUUGCUUUUCCACUUUUCAGAAUAUUAUUUUGAGUAAGUCACUGAAUUCUGCCUAUCAGUUGCUUCAUCCUGUCUCCAAAUAUUAAUAUCAGCCCCAAAUUCGAGGAUUCUCAGUUGAUUAGAGAUACACAUACAUAGAUAUAUAUGAUGCAGUUAUCUGUAGCCAGUGCCAAUCUCACUUCUUGUUUUUCCAAUGUCUAGUAGAAUAAUCAUGCAGAAGGGCAAUUAAAUAGGUGCAAGACCAUUUGCUCUUCAGCUCUAAAUUCCACCCCCUAUUUGUCUACUUGUUGGUUUAAUAUCUCUCAUGCUUUCAUUUAUUGCUAAUAUUGAAUAUUCCUGGUACUUUCCAAGAUGUUGCCCAAACAUUUUGGAGACCUCACUCUGCAUUGGGAAGCAUAGUUAUUCAUUUGGAUUAAGUCUUUGGGGGGAUAAGAAUCAUAUAUAAAACAAAGAUAAAUAAAGAAAAGUUCUUUGCAGUGUAUGAGAUUUCAAAUACCAGCCAGCACUUUGAAAUGUUGCCAGCAUUCCCUCAAUCCUCAGCGCCAGAGCCGUAGUUUUCUCUGUCAAAAACUCAUGAUGAUUCCAAGAGUCCAUCUUAACAAUAACAGCAAAGAUAAAAACAUAGCAUUGAGUGGGUUUUAUUUGUGAUGGCUUGUUUGAUGUGUAUUACUCGCUAUUCUUGUCAACUACUUAGUGCAGAGUCAUUUGUCAACUGUAAGUUAAAGUGAAAAAGAUUUUUCAUUCAACUCCAGUAUUCCAAAAUCAGCUGCAACUCAAAAUUUACACUGUACCAGUUUAAUGCAUGGGCUUCCCAAGUACAGAAAGUCCCAUGUUACCUACCAGUGAAAACUAUCAAGCUCUGUUUCUGGAACUGAGAAAAAAUAGAACAUAUCUACUUGGGAGGAUUACAGUGAAGAUAUGUGCUGACAUUUCACUAUGUGUAUGCAAGUAGGUCCCAGUAAAUGUUAGCAGUCUCUGUGCUGUUCCCUAUGGCAAAGACCAUGGUUUUGGUUGAUGUUGUAAGCUGGGAAGUUGACUUAGUGGGUAUGACCUGAGCUCAAUGCCAGUCACUCACUACAAAAAUGUAGGUAUGGCAUCAUGCACACCUGUAACCUCUGAGCAAAGUGGGUAGAGACAGGGAGAUUCCUGGGGCUUGCUGGCUGUUAGCCUAACUAUAGAUUCAAUGAGAGACCCUAAAUCAAGGGAAUAAAGUGAAGAGUAACAAAGACACCCAUGUUCUCUUCUUACCAUGCACAAAUACUGGCAUCUACACCUUCAACAUACAUGGACAUCUGCACAUGCAUACACUCACACAUUCAUACAUACACAAAUACACACCCAGUAUUUUGCACAUUCAUAACUGUCUAGUUAAGUGAAAGAAGGGGGUAAGUAGGUAUCGUAGUGAGAAUUAUGGAAUUUUGGUUUCCUUAAAAAACAGAAAUAUUAUAAAAACUUUUUUUCUUGUUAAGUCCCAGGUUUAGGAUAUAGGACUGCUUCAGAUUGUCCAUUGUGAUUUGCCUCAUGCUCUAGUAGGGAUGUGAUUUUGCCAUGCCACAGAGAGUUCUUUGAUUGGCUGACAUUUGGGAUUCUGGAGACUUUUUAUCGGAUAUAUAAAUGCUAGGAUUCUUAGAAGUGUUGAGGAGGGGGAUUGUUGGUUCUUGUUGGUCAUGGGUUUUUAGGUAGUCAUGCAUAAAGAAGAAAUUAGAUAUCCUGAUGGCAAAGAUCAAACUUGCCCCCAAGGAACUUGAUACCCCUAAUUAUCAGGAAGUAGUUUAAUGCUAACUGUCAGAGUCUCCUGGGUCCCCUGCAGUGUCUCACCUCCCCUUGUCAGACCCUUCUGGGUCCCUUGCAGGGUUUGACCCCUGCUGAGCCCUGCUGAUGCAUGUGGAAGCCUUUUGUUCCUAACAAAGGAGCAGUCUGACCCAGUACACAUGUGGGCAAUGGUGAUGGUCAAUUCUUUCCUGUCUUUUGUCUUCACAGUCUUUUGUUUUUGAGAUUUAGGCUGGUCUUCCAGGAUUUCUCCCCAGAAAAUUGGGGGUACUAUUCGGACUUUCAUUACCGAAGUCUUGAGCCGGGUUUCCCACUGUGCUUCCUAAAUUUUUCCUCCUGGUCAACUUGGGGUAUAUAUUUGGAAAAUAAAGCUACAGAAUGGGCAUUCUUUCUUAACACAAAUAACCUGCACACGCAAGUGCAUGUGAAUGUACAUGUGCGUCUGUGUGUGUGUGUGUGUGUGUGUGUGUGUGUGUGUGUGUGUGUUUUAAUCCCGCAGGCUUGGGCCUGGUUCUCGGUGCCGUGAAGGUGUGGGCAUCGACAGCUAGCAUUUCCCCCUUUCUGACUGCUGACUUUAUUCAGGGAUAUCUUCCCUUUUCUCUCUAUCCUUUUUUCUUUUAUCUAAGUUAGGAGGUUGAAAGGGUGGAAGAAAAAAAGAGUGGAGAAAGAAAAAAGAACCCAAAAGUAGCAAAGAUGAGCUACUAAGUAUUACAUUUAUUCUCAGUUUAAAAGUAUAUUUCCGGGCUGGAGAGAUGGCUCAGCCGUUAAAGGCUAGGCUCACAACCAAAUAUAAAAGUAUAUUUCCUAGUUAAGAAUGAUAUACAUAACAAAAUCCAAAACAAGAUACAAACUUUUCUGGAUGACGUAUGAGGAGUGGGAGGGAAGAGUUGUGGUAGACGUGAUUAGGAUGCAUUAUAGCAUAUAUGAAAUUACCAAAGGAAAAAAUACAAGGGGUAAAAAAGAACUUUAGAGUUACCAUGAUGUAGUUUGACAUAUUUAUUUCUGAAGCUUGCUCUAGUUGUCAUGUCAUUUAACAUGAUGUGUAACAUGUGGGUACAAGAACAUCUUUGUUAUAUGAAUAAAUAUGUUUUUAAACUUAAUUUCAUUCUAAUUAUAAUUCUAAGAUGUUUCUUAGAAGUUAAAUAUACUCAACUUUCCCUGGCAGUAUAAAACAUUGGAUUUUUAAUAUAAAGAUAGUCAUUCUAGGUAUCAGAAGGUCUAUCCCUUGGCCUAAUGUCUGCUUAUAGUUUCAUUCAUUCAGUGGUAUUCCUCAGCCCCUCCUGAGUGCUUGAAAUGGCUCAUGAGUGGGUUCUUACCCCAAAUAUUAUACUAUUUCCAGAGAUACGUAUAUGGGCUUCAUAGACCGAAAUGGUGAUGAUAGAGAGAUUCCAUUUAGUUAUUGGACUAAACAAUCAAUAUUCAUGAGCACAUAAACAUACAUUCAAGUUCAAGUUAUAAUAAUUUUUGGCUACUCUGUAAGGAAUUUUAGUUAGUAGACAUUGGAACUUUUAAGAAUAUUAGAUCUAAAGUUAUUGAUCAUUCCUGUGCAUUAAGAUUAACUAGUGUUUUGCCUUUCUGCAUGAAAUUCAGUUGAUGACUAACAAUUCCUUGCUUGUAGCAUCCUCGUUCAAAAAGGAGAAAGUGACAUAAUCAAUUACUGAUGUUGCCCACUGGCAUGAUAAAGAAGAAUGCUGGUGUACAUGUCACACAAUUGCCAUCCAUGCUGUUCCUUGCUUUGAGAGAACAGGAGUAUCUGGGGAAACCAGUGAAUUUUUGGAAGCCAUGGGGACAGUUUGUUACAGAGCUUUGAGUGGUCUGGACAAAGAACAGAAAGAGAUACCGGAGCCAGGGUGGAGGUUAGGGAGGAGCCAUUUCAGUUCUGAGUGCUCAUUGACUUCAGACACCAAGUGGCAGCAAGUUUUGCAUAGUCACUUCCACCACUUUAAUUGUCUGAGCAUUGUGGCCAUAAUGGAUGGCAGGCUCUCCUUUAAACAUAAUAAAUGGCUCACAAUUACUUUACUUUGGAGAGUGCUCUUCUGCCCUGGGACACUAUAAUAACCUGCAAAAGGAAAGCAAAGGCCUAGGGAUUUAUGAGAUGUCUCCAUUUCAACCAUCUGGGAGAAAUACAGCACAGUGCCAGUGUGACCGUGUGCUUACCAGAGUUAAUCUAUCAUUGCUCCUGCUAUGAGCCCUUUUCUCUCCUGCUUAAGACUAUCACAGGGAUUUGUCCCUAGCCUUCACAAAGACUGGCCAGAAAUCAUAUUUUUCAUGUAACUCUAGAAAUAUGGUCCAGCUGACCUUCAAUUUAUUGGACCGAGGGGGAAUUUUUCUAGUUAGAAGGAUUUUUAAAAUCCAGUGG